rnacentral:lncRNA from 1 species
AGGAUCUUGGCCAAUUAGAAUGUUUACAGAAGCUACAUUUGACAGAUGUAAAGAUUAUUAAACAUCUUCCGGAUAGUAUUUGCAUGUUGAAACACCUGAAAUAUCUCGAACUUUAUGAUUGUUUGCUGCUUGAGAGGUUACCAGAGGAUCUUGGCCAAUUAGAAUGUUUAGAGAAGCUACAUUUGACAGAUGCAAAGAUUAUUAAACAUCUUCCAGAGAGCAUUUGCAUGUUGAAACGCUUGAAAAAUCUUCAACUUUAUGGUUCAUUGCUUGAGAAGUUACCAGAGGAUCUUGGCCAAUUAGAAUGUUUAGAGGAGCUAGAUUUACACGGAUGUGCACGUUUACAAGAUAUCCCAAAUAGCAUCUGUGAGAUGAAAUGUCUAAAACAUUUCUUUCUCUACAAUUGUAUUCGAGUUGAAAAAUUGCCUGAUGAACUUGGACGUUUGGGAUGUUUAGAAGCGUUAUAUAUACAUGGUACAAGCAUAAGUGAUCUUCCGCAGAGCAUUUUUUUGUUGAAAGAUCUGCGUAUUCAAGGGUCGAGACAGCUUCUUCAGUCGUGUGGGUUUACACCCGAGAUAGAAGCCCACAGAUAUAUAGAUGAAACGAUGUGUUACGCACGGGUACCCAUAAUGCAGGAACCCACAGUCAAGUGAAAUAGAACUAUUGGAAAAGGUACUUUCUGUGUUUUUUUAUUGAUCAUGUUACAUGAUUUCAAAUUUGAAAUUUUUAUGAUGAUAAUUAUGUUUUCAGCCACAAUCAACAAUAAUAACUAAAAAGAUACAAGUACUUUACUUAGAGACAACUUUUGUGUUACAUGUAAAUCUUUUGAUAUCUUUAUAUAUGUGGAGAAUCUAGUUUAUUGUUGUUUAUACAUGUGAAAAAAGUGAUUUGAUCAUAUAACUGAUUUUAUCAGGCAUCUGCAUCUGUUCUGUUCUUUAUCAAGCAUCGUGAUAUCUGGGGUGAAUGUUUUGUUAAUUGAGAUUAAUCUGGUAUCUAUGUAGGGAAUCUACUUAUUAUCUCAAGUUCUCAACCCAUGUUACUUUGUUAUCAGCAACCUCUAGUACUUAUAAUUUGGUCUCUAGAUAGGUCCUCCUCUUGAGGUAUAACUAAACUUUAUCUCAUCAUUCCCAUGGAUUUCUGUAAUUAAUACUUGGAUGUCAUUAUUGUUUCAGGAUCUUGAUCUUCUACAAUUUGUAUAUAUGGAGUUGAGUGCCUCAUUACCGAAGUUCUGUGUGUUUUUUUUUAUUAUUUUUUUUUUUUUUAUUUUUUUAUUUAUUUUUUUUAUUUUAUUUUAGUCAGUGAUAAUUUGAAAAGACUGUUAUAACCUGGUUCAUCGUAGUCUCAUUCUCUUCUCAUGAUCUUCUCUCGUAAAAAAAUAAAUUAAUUAGUUUUGGAGUAAAGAAAUGCUGAGAAAUGGAUGAAACAUGCACUCUGGUACAUUGCUAUAUCUAUGAUUUGUCCGAUAUUUAUGUAUGUAUUUAUAUUUCUAUAAAUGUAUGUAUGUAUGUUUCUGCAUUAUUUUCCACAUUAUACUACAAUUUGGCAAUGGUUGAUCUUUUGUCAUCCACAAUAUAAUAUAUAUAUUCACCUUAAGAUGUGCAUGGAUACCUCGAGACCUUCCCAUUAUCAAGAGUUAUUUUAACUGCAAAAAAUUGAUAAUGAAUUCGUUCCAUUCAUCAUUUCAUGGACAACCCUAAAAGCCUGCACAUAAGUUGUCUUUGCAAAAAAGUCCUUGUAGGUCUUGUUUGUAACUUUGUUUUUGAGUUAGAGCUUAAUGCUUUGUAUUUGGAAAUAUAAUUUUAGCUUAUUGCUCUGAUUUUUCAUGCAUCAACACAAAGCAUAUCCUGAAUAUUAACAAUAAGAUUGUGGUUUUGAAAGUUAAGAAUCAUCUCCUAUCUGUUGUGUGUUGAUUGCAGCCUUUAAUGUAUUGUGAAAACAAUUUUGAUAGGUUUCAGGUUAAAAGUUGUGGUACAACUGUAUAGAGUUGUAAGUAGGUUGUUAUUAUGGGCAAAGGUUAUAUCACAUCGUUGAGAUUAUUAAUUCUCGUAAUCUGCCGAAAUUAUAAAGAAAAAGAAACACCUUUUGUCCCAGAGAAAAAAACUGUAAUCUGUUUAACAAUUAUUUAAAAAAAAAAAAACAAAAAAAAACAACUUACUCUUUGGAAAAACUGUAUGCUGCUUGUUAAUACUUGGUAAAAUCUGUAGGUUGAUUAGGAAUCUAAUAUUGUGUCGUGUGCUUAUUUAUAUGGUAUCUGCUUGAUGUGAUGAUAAAUUGUUGGGAAAUUGGGCUGACAAUAGGGCUUCUGAUAAUCAAUUCUUGGAUAUUGACUUUGGAUUGUGUACUUCACUUUUCUUGAGCAAUAUUUUGACCCUCUAUCACCCGGCUAUCAACAAAGCCAAGUUGCUCAAGGAAUUUCGUCGCCCCUCUUUUGGAAAUUGGGCCUAUCCUCGGCCCAUAGUCACCUCUCUUUUGGAAAUUGGGCCUAUCCUCGGCCCAUAGUCACAUGACAAUCCGAUUUUCCCCCAUGUUAUCAUUAGAUAAAUGAAUUUCACCUUUUAGAUUUGGAUUUUCCAUGUGUAAACUAAUUCUAUAAUAAUAGAUUUACCUUUCUUAAAUCUUAAUUUUUAUGUUUCUAAUCUUCACUACUCUAAUAAAUAAAAAAAAAAUUAUACCACAUGUCACACUUUUAUUCAUUUUGCUACAUGUCAUUCUGUAAUUAUUUUAAAUUAAAUUUUUCUACAUGUCAUUUUAUUGUUUUUUGUAUUUUAUUAAAUUUCACACUAUGUGCGAGACCCGUGUACUACACGGGUUUAUUAAAAAUAAAAUGUUUAAUAUCAAUAUGUAAACAUUAAACAUUUUAUAAAGUAAUUGAAAAAAGAAAGCAAAUCAAUAAGUUUGUAAUAUUUAUAUGAAUUUAUUCUCAAAUUAAUAAAAUGAUAACCUUAUAUGAAUAGAAUGAGAAAAUUUCAUAUAUAUAACCAUAAAUUCGGGAAAUUUAAUGUAAGAAUGAAAAAGCUCAAAAAAAAUGACAAUUGAUAAAUAAGAAAAUGAAAAGAAAAAAAAAACCAAAAAAAAAAAAAUCAUGUGCCAAAAUGAAAGAGAAGAAGACAUUGACAAUAAACAUUCAUUUAUUAGAGAUGAUAGUAUUUAAAUAGAAUAAUUGUAAUAAAUGUAAUAAUAAAUGGAUAUUAAUUUCAUUAAUACAACUUUUCCUUUUAAUUUUAAAAUUCCUAAAUUGAAGCCAAAUUAUUUCAUUUGUUUAUUUAUUUAAAUUAAAAAGAGAAUGAGCAUUUUAAUUUCAAUAAUCCAAUAUUUUUCUCAUUUUCAUUAAAAAUUCAAACUUCCUAAAUGUUUAGACCUUCAUAUUUAACUUUAAGUCUGAUGCAAUAAGAGCCCUUGAAUUUUCAAGAAAUCUUUGGCUUUACCCUUAGAUGACUUUUAGCUUCACUAAAGCCGAAGUUUGGGUAAAAAUUUACAUUUCUGCCCUUCUAUCAAGUUUUCGGGUCACAUUUCGGUCACCUGGGCAGGAGCAAAAUACGAUUAUUUUUCGUUGACUUGGGCAUUGACAUGGAGUGCCAAGUCACAUAUUCAUUCCUUUAUUAGAAACACAAUAGUGCAUCGGAUGAAACAAGGCCUACGAGAAUCGAAGUAGUGGCCUCACAAAGAGAACAUCAGCGCCUUCACUACCCAGCAACAAGGGAUUUAUCUUUUAACUUCUGUUGUAUUAAACUUAACAAUUCACGAAAGGAAUUUUUUUCUUCUUUUUCUUUUUCUUUUUCUUCUUCUUAUUAUUAUUAUUAUUAGCAUAACUCCAAUUAUGAAAGUAUAAAUAUAUUUUUUAAACGUAUUUAUAUAUUUAAAAACCUGAUUUUCCUUUUUAGAAACAUAAUAUAUCUUUAAAAAAUAGUUUUUAAUUUAAAUAAGUAUUUAUAUCUUUCAAAUCGUAUUUAUAUCAUUAAAAUUAUAUAAUAUAUAAAUAAGUUUGUCAUGAUAUACAAACAUGCGUACACAUAUUUAUUUAUAUAUAUAUANNNNNNNNNNNNNNNNNNNNNNNNNNNNNAAAUGUAUUUACAUGUAUUUGUACAAAUUAAAAACAUAUUUAUAUAUUUAUAUAUAUUUAAAACGUAUUUAUAUGUGUUUAUACACUUAAAAAACAUAUUUAUAUGUUUUUUAAGUGUAUAAAAAACAUAUUCAUAUCAUCAAUCUUCAAGAAAUUAGCUUAAUCAUAUAAACUAAUACAAAUCUUGAAAUUAUGACAAUUAUCUUUUAAUUAGACGAGCAUGAUCAUUACCUUAUCAAAAAAACAGAUUGCAUGGUUCAAAAAACAAUUUAGGGUAAUGAUCCUAAUCCAAUUUCUGGCCAAAACUCGAAAUUCUGCACACUGGAGCACCAACUCAGUGAGUACAUGAACUGGACUCGUUGAGUCACCCAGUGGACUCGGCGAGUUCACCAGUCAAAUGAAGAAAUUUGAUUUUUUCAACUUUGAAAACCAAUAAACAUCAAGUAUAAUAGAAAACAAUCAUAGACUCUGAUACCACUAAUGGGUUUUAAGCACUCUAAUAACCUUAAGGUGCACAUACAAACCUAAAUGUUUUGGAUCUAUGUGUUCUCUAAUUAUACAUGCAAUUUGAUUUUCCAAAGCAGUAUCCUAACUAGCAUACAAAACAUGGGUACUUGUAUAACAAAAACUAGUUAGAUAACAUACUUUUUCUUGUAGCUUGUUAGCUUGGACCUUUAAGAAACUAGCACCCCAAAUGUGAUGCCUUGAAUGCUUCACAAAACACCACCAAUAAUGGAGGACUUUGAGAGAGUAUAACUUGCACACAAAAAUCGGUUAUGGCUCUUCCAAAGAUCACUAGUGCCGAUUUUAGGAGCUAAGGGACUUCUUAUAUAGCGUGUCAAGGUCUAGGGUUACAUACCAAAUAUAGUUAUGGACUUAGACACCUUAUCCAACAAAUUGUAUGACUAUAUAGUCAAUAUAAUUCGUUCCUUUUUCCUGAAUAAGGAAAAGUGAUAUCUUUAGGCCCCUUGGUGAUUUGAGUUGAUCUAUGAAAACCAGGGGAUUGGUCCGGAAUAAAUUGACGUGUUUAAUUUUAUAGUCUAAAUUGAUCACAAAUUCGGAAAUCGAAAAACAAAAUAAAUGAACAUGAGUUGGAUCAUUUAAUCCAUGACUUAGCUCAUAUGAUAUCUUGUAGAACGAAGGAAUAAUUGAUUACUUAUCUUAGGGUCAAUGUUUGAUUUGAAUCAGAGUUCGACAGUGGCUUUGGAAAGCACUCUUUGCGGUUUAAUUCAAGGUUUAUACUAGCAAUUGUUGUUACAGACUUAUCCAAGUGGGAGACUAUUUGAUUAAGGAGUCUAAGCCAAUAACUAAAUUGGUAUAUUCUUGUAAUUAGAUGCAAAGUUUGUUUUGGGUUACCCUGAUCACCAGAAAUAACUAGAAAUGAUUUUAGAAGAGAAAAUUAUAACUUAUUAAAUUAUUAUACGAAUAAUUAAUUAAUUGGAAAUUAUGGGAAAAUGAUUCGUUAAUAUAUUAUGUGAUUAAUAUAGUAAUUGAAAAUAAACAGUUGAUCUGUUGAUUUAUUAUGUGAUUAAUAAAUUAGUAUGAAAUCGAUUGUUAAAUAACUGAUUUGUUAAUUUAUAUAAUUAAUUAGUUAAUAUGAAAUCAAUUAUAAUUAAUUAAUUAUUAAUCAGAAUUAAUCUGAAAUUAAUUUUGGAUUAGUUGGAAUUAAUUAAAGGUGCAAGGGGUGAAUUUUAAUUGUUCAAUAGUUGAAUAAAAGAAGCAAUUCUAGAACCCUUCAUGGUAUGGACAGUUUUGGAGGAUUUCCUAGGGUUUCUGAAAGCCUCCUGGUUGUAUAUAAGGAAAAGAUUUAAAUUAAUAUUAAAUAUAUUAUUUAAUUAAUUCAAAUCUUGAUUUGCCUACAAGUUACCUAAACUAUAAAUAGGACCCCUUGAUUUGCAAUUUUCGUUCACCACAUUACCUAAAGGCAAUUGAAUGAAAUUUCCCUCAUAUCUCCUUUCCCUUCCUCAUUCUAGGGUUUUUGGUUUUUGGUGUGAGCCAUAAGAGGCAUCCGCCUUUUGGUGUUUGGUUUCUAAGGAAUGUCAAGAGGAUUUGAUUUGAUUAUUUGCUAUAAUAAUAAAAAGGUAUGUAACCCUACUAUUUAUGUUAAUUUUGAUUUUCAUAACCUCUCUCUAAGGUUUAUUGAUCUUCAUAGUUUAUUGCUAUCAAUAAAGAAAACAUAGAUCCUUUCUAGGUUACAUGUGAGCUUAAGGGUUUAAGUGUUUUUCCGGCACAUGAUAUUUUUAUAACCAAGAAAACCCAUCAAUGGUAUCAAAGCCUUCGUUUUCUAAUUGAUUGGGUGGUAUUUUGGAGGAACUCUCUAUGAUUUGGCUUACAGAUUAAUUGUUAUGGUUUCAUGUACUUCAGAGGACAAGGGAAAGGCGAAGGCUUAAUCGUGCACAUCUUUCGUAUUUUAUGAUAUUUGAUUUUGGGAUACUCUAAUUCACGAUUAUAACUUUUGGAAACUAUGUUUUGUAAACAUUUAUGGUUUUUGGUGUAACAUCCAUAAAAAUAAGGCCAAAUUUAAACUUUUUAAAACAUUUAGAAACCAAAAGUUAUUACCAAUUUGUUUUCAAGACAAUUCUAUAUCAGAGUAUCCCACCAUAGUCAUAAAAGGUGAGGAGUUGUACAAUCACGCCUUUGCCUUCCUACGAUCAUCUAAUGUACCUGAAAUAAUAAAUUGAAACUGUAAGCCCGAGGCUUAGUGAGUUACCCCCCAAAAUACCGAUACACAUACAGUCCACUUAACAAUAUCAGCAAUAUCGUAACAUAACAAACUGAACAGAACAACACGUAACGGGUCCACAGCUUCACAGACUGGAAUACCCAUGGGCCCACAGUGUGAGUCUGGAAUGCCUACCGGGCCCUCAGAUCACAUUUGGAUUGCCACCGAGCCCUCAGUACGAGCCUGGAAUGCCUACUGGGCCCUCAGAUCGUAUCUGGAAUGCUCUCGUGUCCUCAGUAUGAGUCUGGAAUGCCUACCGGGCCCUCGGUUCAUAUCUGGAAUACUCUAGGGUUUGUUGGCUACUGCACGGAGCAGUACCACCUCAACCCAUCCCACAUAACAUGCCGACAUGUAACAGAUAAAUGCACAAACAGGUAAUCAAUCAGUAUCACAGGUAGUCCUACAGAUCUACCAAACUAGCAUAUCAACUGGCAUACAUCACUAACUCAACUCGACAUAUCAAUAGCUACCCAUAUAUCAACUCGGAGGGACCGACCUAAUGUCGUAGACCCUGUCAGUAUAGUGAGGAGAACUUACCUCAAAAUGUUGAAGUCCCGUAGACACAAUCUCAGCUACUGGAUGAUAGAUUCCCGAACUGUCAAUGUCAAAACAUCACCCAAUUAAUAAUUGGGUUCCAAGCCCAAGGUCCAACUCAUACUACAAAAACCCAAUAGUCAAGUAAUGGGCCAAAGCCCAACAUAUGGCCCAAUUUUCGAUAUUGGGCCCAGAACUCUACAUGGUCUUUCCUUAAGGCCCAUCCAAUUAUUUUGGUCCAAACUCUUGGUAUUCCCUUGGCCCAAUAUCACAUAAUCGUACAGGCCCAAACUAUGGUCCAUUUUAUGGCCCAAUUUUCCAAAUUGGGCCUAACUCCUCAUAUGGGCCUUAACCUAAAGCCCAUCAACCUGUUCUAGUCCAUAUGAUCAUUCUUGGAUGGUCCAUUAAUAAUCCAAUUACCAAAGCCGAAUAGGAAGGCCCAACACAAAGCCCGAGUGACAUUAGGGUUUCACAUAAAGUGACAAUUAGGGUUAAGUGUUUCUCACUUAACCCAUUAAGGACUUAACCUAUUAAGUCAAUUAUUACCUUAAGUUAGUUUUCCAAUGAUUAUUAUUUAAUAUUUCAAGUUUAUUACAUAAUUCUCGUGUGUGUAUCCCGAUCAAUUUCCACAAGUUAGGGUUUUAUGCCCUUUGGGUUUCCAACCCAAUACUAGUUCAUUAGUCUAUUGGUUGGGCUUUUAGGUCACAUUGGGUCUUAUUGGCCCAUUAGGGUUCUUUUGGGCCCACUAGGGUUUCUUUGGGCCCAUUAUGGUUUCAUUGGUCCCACAUUGUCCAAACAUCCCCCAAACAAGGUCCAAAGGCAAUCAAAGCACACCGCCACCCGACACGGCGGCCGGUGGCGGCAGGAGGCGACAACCACCACUUCACGGUGGUGGUUUGGAGUUUUUUUUAUUGUUAUUCUGGUUACAAUUACAAUGCUGAAAACCAAAAUAAUGCACACACACUCACACACACCUAAAUCCAUAGCAAAACACACACACAACCACCACCACGCGGCGGCUGGUGGUGGCAGAACAGCAAAGGCGGCGUUAACCACCAUGGUUGGCAGCAAUGGUGGUCUACCAUGGUUUCUGGCCAAACAAACAUCUCUAUAGCAGGCUCUCUAGUGGCACAAUCACACCCACACACUUGAUCGGAAAAAUAACCCAGCCACCCACUUGGUGGUUCCGGCAGUAGCAGAACAAGCGACCACUACUACAGUUGACGGCGGGAACAGCUGCAACGAUGGCGUCAGCAACAACGGCAUUGAGAACCACAACAACAGGUUCGACCUGCCCUUCUCACGACCACAACACCGAUUCAACCUCACGUUUGAUAGUCUCAGGCGGCAGCUCACAAAUUUAGUCUCAACGUGAGACUCUUCGUUUUCACUGGCGACUGGAGCGUCAAUGGCGUCAGACGGUGGUGUAGCAACUACAUUUCCCAAUGCUUCAGCGCAACAGGGCAAGCAACCUUGGUGGUUCACGACCCACAAUCGCUUCUUGUUCCCGGCAGGCGACUGGAGGUUCAUAAGGUGGCGGAUGAAAGUUGAAUGGCAGUUUUCCAAGUGAACGACAGCAGCAUGCACACAACUUCAUUCCCUGGUACUAGGAUGGAUAUGAGGUGGUGGCUCCGAUAGUUUGGGAUCUCAACCGAGGUGGUGGCUAGUCGAUGGAGAAGAAGGUAGCGGCUGGAGGGAGAUGAGGUGCAGAUGGCAGCUGGGAACAAUACAUCUAGGGUUAGGGUUUACCGGGGAGGGUAAAGUUUAAAUACCCCGCCCCUAAUAGACAUUUUCCCAUAAUUACAAGAUCAACCCCUCCAUCUUCCUUUCUUUUCCAAAUCUAAUCCAUAAUAAACACAACAACCCCUCCCUCAACAAACCCUUUCAACAUAGGUCUAGAAUUUACUCUCUAGUCCCUUCUUCUAUAAUUCCUUACAUAUUAAGCCUAAAUAAUACCAAACACUCCUUGACUUAUGAAAAUCUGUUGGGUCAAAAAUAUGGUUUAUAUUUUGCUUUUCUAGGCAAAUGUAUUUUGCUGUAAUGUUUUAUGAGUUUACGGUUAGGUUUACGGCCAGGGAGGUGUUUACGUCCGUAAACCCAUUUACGACCGUAAACAGGUUUACGGCCGUAAACCCAUUUACGGCCGUAAGCCUUCUUUCCAGCUAAAAACUCAUUUUUGGUUUAAAAAUUAAAGUCAAAAUCACAUCUUUUGCACAAAAUAUAUGUAUUAUUGUUGUUUUCUCACUUGUCNGUAUGAAUCUUGUAUCUGGAUCUUCAUUCAUAUCAAUACAUACAAGAUUCAUCAUUUUCUUCUUCUCCUUCUCUUAUGUUUGAUCUGACAUCAUCCGUUUGAUUGGGAUUCCGCACCAUCAAACACAUCUGAUUGAUACACAAGUAGAUUGGGGACUUACAAUUGGUAUCAGAGCCAAAAAUAUUUUUGUUUUGUUGAUAGGGGAACACAUUUAGAGGUUCGGGAACACAUUCUAGUGCAACUAAAAUCGAACCAUUUAGAGGUUGCCUGUAGAUCUCGCUGCUUAAUUUAAGUGGACAACAAUACCCGUGGUCGUCAUCAGCUAAAUGGUUUAUUUAGAAAAGUUUGUCGAUACUCUUCAUGUUUAAGUGGACCACAAUACCAGAAAUUGACUAGAUCUAUGUAUAAAGGUGAAGGUACUGAUAAACAAGUUAAGGCUGUCUCACAACUUUGAUCCCAAAUAUUUUUCUUUUUGUUAAAUUUGUUCAUAGUUUUCCUCUAUGCACAAAUUUAGGGGGAGAAUUAAAAAAUCCAAAAAUAUUUUUGUUUAUGUUUUAAUUUGUAUGCUAAGUUUUCUUUUAGUUUUGUUUUGUCUUGAAAAGUGAAUCCGGGUGUAGAUGAGACUCAUGGAGACUGUAUCAAAGAUUUCCUGAGCCAAGGCUUCAUCCGUGAUCAUCGAAGAAUUCUCAUUCGAAGGAGCAAGAAAUGAAGAUUAUUCUUUCGACAUUCAAUCUUUCAACCCCAGAAGCAAGGUGAAGCAGAAAUUGAAGAUUAUGUGACAGAUUGCAUUAAAGCCUCCUCAGUCAGUCUGCUGCUAUCGUUGUACCUGCUAAAGUGAUCCAGAAGAUUUGUUCUCUCUGAUGUUCUCUCUGAAGAUUCUCAAGCUGAAAGCACCAAUUUUCAAGAAUCUUUACAAGAAGCCUCCUCACCUAAUGUGCAUUAAAUGUCAAAUUCUGAAGAAAUUACCAACUGCUCAAGAUGAAGUCAUUUAUUGAAGAUUCAUCAAGUUCAUCUUGAAGUUGUGAAGUCAUCGAAGAUAAACGUUGAAGCCAAUCUCCAACUGAAGAUUAACAAGAAACGCCGGCUACUUUUUAGGGGGAGCUUGUUGGGUCAAUUAAGAAAAGAAAGCUAUAAACCAAGGGGGAGAUUAUUGUGUCAAAAAUAUGGUUUAUAGUUUGCUUUUCUAUGCAAAUGUAUUUUUCUGUAAUGUUUUAUGAGUUUACGGUUAGGUUUACGACCAGGGAGCUGUUUACGGCCGUAAACCCAUUUACGACCGUAAGCCCAUUUUCAGCCCAUGUUUCUCAUGUAUAUAUAGGGUGAGGAGUGUAAGGGUAACGUUUUUUAGUGAUGAACAGAAGAUAAUAGGGAGCUUAAGUGUGUGUAAGUGUGUGUGAAUCUUGUAUCCAGAUCUUCAUUCAUAUCAAUACAUACAAGAUUCAUCAUUUUCUUCUUCUCCUUCUCUUCUAUUUGAUCUGACAUCAUCCGUUUGAUUAGGAGUCCGCACCAUCAAACAGAUAUGAUUGAUACACAAGCAGGUUGGGGAAUUACAAAAUCUUUACAAAUAAAGUCCAAAAAUUACACUUUAACCCCUGGAGAUUCAAUUCUUGCCAUUUGGCUUACUAAAACCAACACCCCACUAACCAUUUAAUUAUUCUAUUUAAAACGGGGUGUUACAACUCUCCCCCACUUAAAUUUGAUUUCGUCCUCGAAAUCGUUUCUUAUCAUUCCUUACACGCCAAACAACUUGAACUACUUGGAUACAAUCCCAAGCAUAACCUUAGCCAUUCCAAGGCAACUGUAACCAACCCUCACAGUAUUGUAAAACCUAAAAAUAACGAAUCCCUUGGAAUAUAAUCACAUUUACUCAGUUCGAAUCUGAAUCUCGGGUUGGUCCAUCUCCUUGACAGACCGUCCACUCUGAAUUCUAUUCAACUUUGUUGCACGUAGCUCCUAACUGGCUACUCAACUUUUGAUAACCUGAGGCUCUCAUUAGAAAGCAUAACCCCAAAUCACACACUAGUACCUAUAACUCUUUUCUUGACAAGAGAUUAGGUACUCAUUUUAAGAGAAACCCGUUUGAUAACCAAUUCCAUGGGAUAUAAUGAACAACAGAAUGUAAAAUGGGAGAUGAACUCUUUUGGAUCAUUACGACAAUGUUUCCUUUGGUUCCUGAACCAUAUACAUAUAAUAACCAGCUCAUAAGCCCAAACACCCAUACCUGGCCCAGUCAGUCUCGGGCUGGAAUACCAGGCAUGCCCACGAUGGGUCUAGUCAUCCUUAGGAUGUAAUACCCUCGUAUCCUGCACAUGUUUGGCCCAAUCAACCCUCACGUUGGCAUACCAAAACAUGUCAUUUCUAAUCAAUCAUAGGGUCCGGUCAUCCUCGGGAUGGAAUACCCUAGAUCAGAAUACCACUAUAUACAAAACUCAGGUCUAAACUCAUAACUUCAGGUUUAGGGAGCUACUUUGUAUUUCGCACAAAAUCUUCCGAUUCCUCGCAGCCAAUUACGACUCGCCCGAACCUCAACAAUGUGUACAUUCCGAGAGCGCUCCAACAAAAGAAUGAACUACUAGGAUCACUAGGCCCACAACCUAUGACUGGAAUACCCAUACAAGGUCCUCAUCAUAGGUCUAGAUUGCCUCUGAGCCCACAGUAUGAGUCUGGUAUGCCCUGCCUGGCCCUCAGCUCAUGACUGGAAUGUUCCUAAUAAACUAUCAACCUUGUCCGAGAGAAAAGGCCUAACCAACGUCCUUCACAACACUUACCAACGCCACAAUGCUGGAAUUCCACAAUGCACAAUCCACCUAUAGAACAAGUUGCUUAUCCGAGCAAAAUCCUACGACCUUGGUCGCACACGAUCCCAGAAUAGAAUGAUAGUCAAACUCUAGAUUCAACUUUGCAGACUAUAACCCAGCCCUGAUCAGACGUAAUUUGAACCAACUCUAUUGCCACCUUGAAUACCCAUAGAUAUACGCGAAGAAUCACUACCAUGCACAUAAUUGAGAAUCCCUAACUCCACACUUACUCGCCACAAAGCCCAUACUCGAUCGAGACUAAUCCGAUUUUAGUAAUACUAAAGUAGUCUGAGAAGAUUUCCACAAUUAUACCGAAAGUUACCGAAAUCCGAGUCCGAUACGAAUCAAAAUUCGAUUCCAUUAUCGAGGGAAAACAUACCCCCAAAACUUAGGAAACAUAAGCACACUACAUAAGGGAAUUCGUGACAUGCUCCUAUCUUCUCAACGGUCGCCUCUUGAAUUCCUUCGGAGGAUUUCCGCUCCCUGAGAGAUUCACCGAUUAACGCCUGUCCAACCCUUCUGGAAACCAUAAUCUGAACAGCAACAAACAAAACCUUCAAUGGCUGACGCUUAACAUGAGAAUUCCUAAUUCUCUCCCAAUUAGAACACUAAUCACCACCCACCGGUGUGAAAUCAAAACAUAAAUUAACCGACAAUCCCUGAUGCUUGAAUGAUCCCCCACUCAAAUCUUAAGGACCAAAAGAUAAAUGAUCUACUAAUACUUCAACAAUAAUCUAUUUCCCUCGGCGCUCUCAUACGCCAAUUAAUAACGAUUAAUAAAACCACCGAAUCCUGACAAUGCUGAAUAACCAUCCUGUGGGACCCUAUCAUCAAACCUCCCACAUAAUACCCUUCUUCCCAAAGUACUCUAACCAAUCUCCCACUCUCGGCUCUAGAAAUCAUAUCAUUUAGGAUCACGCACCCAGACUCACUCACCAGCUCGAUCAUCCACAGCUGAGCUGCAGCAGUUGAUACAACCUGUAACGACCAAAAAAUCCAACCAAUUUAAAUUUUUCAAAAACAACCCGAUUCCAUUAAAUUAUUACAAAAAGGUUUCCAAUACAAAUCAUUUAGAGUAUUCCCAGAAUCACAUUACUACAAAAUCAUGAGGAGCGGUACGAUCACGCCUUUGCCUUUCCACGGUCUCCUGAAGAGCCUGAAAAACAUUAAACCACAACUGUAAGCCCGAAAGCUUAGUGAGAUACCCCCAAAAUACCAACCACAUAUACCAUACACAUAUCAUGCUAUCUCAUAACGAAUCACAGAACAGCCAUGCAUAUCGGGUCUACUGUGGGACUGGUCCGCCUUGUCGGGCCUUCAGUCCACCUGGUCCACCCUCCGAGUCCAAUCAUGUCCCUCGAGUCUACAGUGUGGUUGGUCCGCCCGCACUGGGCCUUCAACUCACCUGGUCCACUCUCUAAGUCCAAUAAUGUCCUUCGAGUCUGUAGUGUGGUUGGUCCGCCCGCACCGGGGCUUCAACCCACCUGGUCCACUCUCUGAGUCUACAGUAUGACUGGUCCGCCCGCACCCGGGCCUUCAGUCGGCCUGGUCCACUCUCUGAGCCUCGACACGUCUGGUCCGCCCUCGUGGGUCCUACAGCCUAUCCGGACCGCUCGCUGGGCCUUCAGAAUAACCAGUCUACCCUAGGUAUCUUGGCCUACAGCACGAAGCAGGACCCGCCUCAACCCAACUCUAGUCCAAACAACCAUGUGCACAUAAACAUACAAUCACAUAACAAUUCAUAUUCAGGCAAACCGAUCUAGCAGAUCACAUAACACAACAUGCUCUAACAGAAUACCGACCUAACCGGUCACUAGCAUAGCCUCACCCUACAUACCAGGAUACCGACCUUAACCAGGUCUCUAACGAAUACCAUCCUAACUACCCGGAUGCAUACAUAUCAAAGCAAUAACAUAAAAACAAAUACCCGGAUCUCAAUCCGAUAAAGGGCCGGCCUUGGUGCCUUAGACCCUGUUGAUAUAGUGAGGAUAACUCACCUCGAAAUUGUCGGCUGAAAGGAUAAGAUCCCGCUGCUCCAAACUCCGACACGAACUCCUCCACUGAACACCAAAACACUCAACUUAAUAAAUACCCUUAAUUACCAAAAUACCCCUGGAAGACAACUGGUCAACCCUUGGACAAGGUCAAAGUCAACCCCUGACUGACUCUACUCGCCGAGUCAACCCGAUGACUCACCGAGUCCCCAAGCUCAGAACUUCCCUCAAUCCGCGACCUAACUCGCCGAGUCACCCCGAGACUCGCCGAGUCCAACAACUCUGAGUCCACUCGCACCCAACUCACCGAGUCAUCCCUUGACUCACCGAUUCUCGACUCAACCAGAAAAUAUUUGGACUCUUCGACAAGACUCGCUGAGUCCAAGAACAGACUCGCCGAGUCUAAGGCUAUCUUCAACCUACUCGCCGAGUUGUUCAUCCAACUCGUCGAGUUCCAGCUCAACUUCAAGCAACUCGUCGAGUCCACCCUUGUGUCUCGCCGAGUGCCACCGGUCUGAAUCAAUACAGAAGCAUUCCAGGCCAUGCAAUUUAUCCAAAACAUAGAUCUAGCCUCCUACAACCCAUCCAUCACGUAAAGUGGCAAACUUUACGUGAAUCCAAAGAGAUCUAGGCAUUUUUACUCUAGGGUUUGGGGUUUUGGACAAGGUAGCUCCAUCAACAACACAAGAACAUGGACUUUAUUGCUCUUAAGACCUUCUCCACUCCAGAUCUGAGGUAGCAACCUCAGAUCUAUCCUUCAAACUCAAGAUGCCACAAAUCUAAGCUUCCCACACAACCCCAAAAUGAAGAAUCUAGAAGAACACGACCCAAGAACGAGAUAUUACCUCAAAAUGAAGCCUCCAACAGCAAGAGAUCCGAAUCUAAACAAAUCCCUUUGAUCCAAGCCUCUUUUCCUUCAAGAUUUCUUCAACAAACACCUCCCCAAGCUCCAAAUGCAUUGCAAUCUUCCACAAUCACGCUUUCUAGGGUUUCUGGACUUCAAGGGGGAUCAAAGAGGCUGGGGAAAGGGUGUAAUGUUCUUUAAAUAAGGCUCAUUCCCCGGAUUUAGGGUUUUCUCCACUAAGCACCUACUCGUCGAGUCCAUCUUUGGACUCGCCGAGUAGGCCACUUGAUUCGCGAACAAAGUCGCGACCCUACUCGCUGAGUCCAUCCAUGGACUCGCCGAGUUGCGCUUCAAAAUUUACACUUUUAGCCCUUCAACUCUACUCUUGAUAUUUCAGGAUGUUACACAACCUCUGCCCUAAACCGGGCUACAACUACUUCCAUGACAUAGCCUACAGUCCCAAAAGUGCAAUAGAUCGCACAAUUAAUCCUUACCACUUGAUACAAGAGAUCAAAGGCGAUCCAAACCUCACAUAAUACUUCUACCAUAUCGACCCACCUGCGCUCACUAGCGCUGAACUACUGUCGCCAAUCCCAACGACCAACUGACCCUAAGCUGGAAUACAACCUGACCCUGAGGUCACAAGCCUGCUCAAUCCUUCGAGCUCGUAAACUGAAAGGGAAGAAUCCUUUCCCUAAAAAAUGACAUUCCAAUCCAUCAAUAAGCCCUUCUACUUCUAGUUGCAAAACCCCAGCUAAACAUAAUCAUUACUCCUUUCCGGAAUCCCCGUGAAUCACAUUCCGGCCUCGAGCAAAACCCCCGAAGCCUCAAAUCUAGAAACGCAUGUGCUAGACUCUCCCGUUUAACCCGCAGACUGUAACAAGUACAGAACAUCUCCAUGAUCCCAAGUAACUGCAGCCCUCUGCUCAUCGAAAUAUGUCCCAGUAACAAGUCCUAGUACUGAAAAGUGUAACAACCCAAAAUUUCUAUCUUGUACAAUAGACCAAUGUAAUCAAAGUUAGACUGGUUUUCUAUAUUUUAACACAGUUUAAGGUCUAUUUGAGUGUUCUAUACUUAGUACAACUAAGAUAGGAGCCUAAAAAUGGGAUAACAUGAUGGAUAUCAAGCAAAAUCGGGCCAAACACUUCAACACCUGGAGUGUGCGGCCGCACACUUGAGUGUACGGCCACACACAGGUGUGUGUGGCAGCACACCCAUCCCAACCACACUCUAUUGCCUAUAUAUGUCACCCUUAGUCAUUUUUUAACAAUUUUUCCACAACUUCAAAGCUGGAACUCGUUUUCUCUCUAGUAUCAUCCACAUUUCUCUUCAAAUCUUCAAAUCAAGUAAGUGUUGCUUCCUUGAUUCAUUAAUACAUGACCUUGACUAGCUUUCCCUUUGCUUUGAUCCAUGAAAACAUCCAUUCUUGGCCAAGAACACCAAGAACACAUACUAAACUUUUUGGAGUUUAACCAUAUUUCUAAGCCUCUAAAUCGUGCAUACACUUAUCAUAGCCUGUUAUAUGCCAAGAACACUUGAAGAUAUGCAGGAAUAACGCCAUUUCUCAUAAUCUCCAGGAGUGUACGGCUGCACACACCAUGUUCAACCAUACACNAACGCAUGUGCUAGACUCUCCCGUUUAACCCGCAGACUGUAACAAGUACAGAACAUCUCCAUGAUCCCAAGUAACUGCAGCCCUCUGCUCAUCGAAAUAUGUCCCAGUAACAAGUCCUAGUACUGAAAAGUGUAACAACCCAAAAUUUCUAUCUUGUACAAUAGACCAAUGUAAUCAAAGUUAGACUGGUUUUCUAUAUUUUAACACAGUUUAAGGUCUAUUUGAGUGUUCUAUACUUAGUACAACUAAGAUAGGAGCCUAAAAAUGGGAUAACAUGAUGGAUAUCAAGCAAAAUCGGGCCAAACACUUCAACACCUGGAGUGUGCGGCCGCACACUUGAGUGUACGGCCACACACAGGUGUGUGUGGCAGCACACCCAUCCCAACCACACUCUAUUGCCUAUAUAUGUCACCCUUAGUCAUUUUUUAACAAUUUUUCCACAACUUCAAAGCUGGAACUCGUUUUCUCUCUAGUAUCAUCCACAUUUCUCUUCAAAUCUUCAAAUCAAGUAAGUGUUGCUUCCUUGAUUCAUUAAUACAUGACCUUGACUAGCUUUCCCUUUGCUUUGAUCCAUGAAAACAUCCAUUCUUGGCCAAGAACACCAAGAACACAUACUAAACUUUUUGGAGUUUAACCAUACUUCUAAGCCUCUAAAUCGUGCAUACACUUAUCAUAGCCUGUUAUAUGCCAAGAACACUUGAAGAUAUGCAGGAAUAACGCCAUUUCUCAUAAUCUCCAGGAGUGUACGGCUGCACACACCAUGUGUACGGCCGCACACACCAUGUUCAACCAUACACACCCUUUUUAGGUCCUAAAAUGGAAAUGAACUCCAUAUAAGGCUAGAGCAUGAAGUAAGAAACCUUCCUAGAUGAGUCAUAAGGCCUUAAAAUACAUUUUAACACACUUCAUGGGGAGUGUGCAGCCGCACACACACCAUGGCCGCACCCCCUGGCCACACACACACAAAUGGUGUAUUUUGACCAUACACUCCCUUGUAUAGCCAUAUACCCCUUAUAUACAAUCAUAUAUGAUUGUAACACUUCAAUAUAAGUGUUUACUAGUCCCUAAGGUGGUCACAAUUCAAUAAUUAGUUGUUACCAACACUAAUUGUAUACACACAUAUGUCAUUAUAUGGUUGAUAGGAUUCGUUUGUGCUCAAGUCCGCAAUUGACACUCAACUUCCUAAACCGAUUUUACAGUCGCAUCACUCACUACAGGUGAGUUCAUAUCCCUUAAACAACCUUUUAAAUGUUUUUAAAUGCUUAUAUGGGGGGGGGGAAUACAACUUGAAUUACUAUAGUUAUAAUAUCAAUCACAUGUGAUUUAUAACUAUCAAACAAAUGGAUUUACUAUACUUCUAACUGUUUUGUCAACAAAACUACUUCAAAAUGAUUAUCAAACCCUUUUACAUGUUAAACUUAUUAUAAAACUUUCUCUUAAUUACCAAACCAUUACUUUCAAUUCUUUAAACUUAUAUAUUGUCAAAACCAUUCCCAGUACAUAUAUAGUUAUAUAAAUAAGGUUUGAAGGACUUAGGACUGAUAACUCGCUUUAAUUCAUGUUCCUUGUUUGGUUGUGUAGUUAGUGUACUCUAUGGUUUGUCCGAGUGUCGUUUGAUCCUUAGUUAUAUAUUAUGUAUAUAUGUAUGGAUAUAAAUUUUUUACUUCAGUUCCAACACCGUUGGAUAGCAAAGGUGUAUAAGCUUUCUAAGUCGUUCAAACAACAGUUCUAGUAAACUAUAAUACGUAUAGUUUAGGGAUAUACUACUUACUAAUUUCUAGUACAAUGAAACAUAUAAAGAGUCAGUUCAUACAUGAGUCGCUAUAUACUAUACACUAUACAGAGAGAACAUACACUAGUACAUACAAUUCAUACACACUAUAUACUAUGCAGAAGAACAUACUAUGAUGAGAAUCAGAGAGGACAUUCACUACACUACCACAUACAAUACAUCUACACUAUAACAUAAAUGUGAGGCACUACUUCGGGGCAUGCCAUCUUUGUCGUGGCUCAUCUUGUAACCAGAGUCUUCUGAAGGGAGAGCAUGAAUUUGUGUAUAGAUCUAUACUGGACUGACCGUCCUACAACUUGCUGCUAGCUACAGUGGGACCUGCAGGUCUUCGGGUGAUGAAUGUCAUACCAUCUCGACGUCUUUGAGUGGCAUGUUUUACUAGGUCGAUCAAGUAUAGUUACAAAUUAUAUCACAUUAUACCUUAAUUAACAAUUGGUUUAAGGUGGUUAGUGUUGGGUUUGAGCAGUCUAACACUCCUAAGUGUACAUGCAACUCUAAAUACCUUGGAUCUAUGUUUUCUCUAUUAUACAUGCAAAUAUGAAUAUUCCAAGUUAUUACCCUAUUUAGCAUACAAUCCUUGAUACAUAGGUAAUAUAAUAAGUUAGAAUCCAUACCUUUUAAUGAAGCUUGAAGUCUUGAACUUUAAGAGAUUAGCCCCAAUAGUGUGGAAGCCUCAAGUGGAAUCACAAAUCACCAAAACACCUUGGAAAACCUUUAGAGAAUAUGGAUACUUGGCUCACACUUAUGAAAUUGGUUAUUGCCCUCUUUAGUGUAUCCACACUAAUCACUAUCACAAGUUCAUGAACCAUAGGACCCUUUAUAUAGUGUGGAGGAUUAGGGUUAAAACCUAAUACCCAUGACCUUUCAUUUCCUAGGAUCCAUGGGUUAAAGCUCCAUGGAAUAUCCAUGAUAGCUUAGCCUAACCUAAAUGAACUUGGCCCACUACAUAUAUAUCUAAGAGUCCAUAUUUAAUUAGUUCCUUUUGAUCACUUAAUUAAUUAUAAAUUAAUUCUUGAUCAAUACUAAUUAAAUAAUAUGAUUCCGUAUUAAUAUAUUAGAACUUAUAAUAUAUUAAUAUAAAUCAUAAAUAUACUAUUCUCAAAAAACUAACCAUAUAAAUUGUGUCGGUGAAGUGCAACCCAAAUGGACCAUGUCGAGUCGGGUCAAGUACAUACCAAAUAUAGUUAUGGACUUAGACAUUAAUCCAACAGUCUCCAACUGGAUAAGCCUAAAACUAUUAUUGAGUAUGACUUCAAAACCUAACUGGCAAUCGUAGGUCUUAAAGCCGCUGUCGAACUUUGACCUUGUCAAUGAACUCUGACCUUUGUCAACGACUUGUCCAUUAGAUAAGGGAUCAUAUAUUCCUCCAUUCUAGAUAUCAUAUGGACUGAGACAUGGAUUAUAAUCCUUCUCUCUGUCCAUUUGUUGUUUCCCGAUUUCCGAUUUAUGACGACUGACUAAUUGAACAAAUCAAAUCAGUCCUGGCCCGGCCGAGCACUUCCAUUUGUCAUCAUCAAAUCAUCGAGGGGCCCACAGAUAUCGCUUUUAUCCCGAAGGUAAAAGGAAUGGAUAAACUUCUACUCAUAUGGCUUGUUUUACUACUUGUUGAAUCAUACACAAAGGCACGUUUUAUAAUGUCGAGUUACCGAAUGCGUUUUCGUGCAAUCAAUGUACAACCAACUCAUAGUAACAACUCAUAUCUCUAGGUUUCAAGAAUAUAAGAUAUUAUCAUCUCAUGAUCACUCGUGAUAAAAUCCAUGAAGUGAUUCCAAUGAGCGCGGGUUGAAUCCAAUACUCAGAACUUAUGAGCACUCAUGAGUGUUGUAGCACAACUUUGUCCACCAACUUGGACCUCUACAAGCCAACCCAUGACAGUCUUGAUUCAUAUCUACUUCCAACAUAUGACCGACUGUGGAUGGUUUGAAUAACUUAGUCAUUCCGGAAGAAUAACCUAGUUAUUAUGGAAGUCAAAACAUGCAAAGUCAAACACAAGAAUAAAUUAAUCUAAUAUGGUAUCAAAACCUAUGAAUAUAAAUAAAACACUUUCUAUUUAUCACCAUACUGAUUACUCAUUAUUCAUUGUUUCGGUUUUAUCAACUUUAUACUUGAAUUAAAACACUACGUGUCCCAUGCUCCAAGCAUGUACACUAUGUUUUUCUAAACAAUAGCUUUUCCAUACACCAAGUAUGAACUCUAUGUUUGUCUAUGAUCCUUUUCUUUGUGAACUUAGAUCAAUUGAACAUAAUUUCAAUGAUUCUCAUUUCACACUCCCAAUUCCUUACUGCAAAUGCAAGAAUUCCAAACUCAUGCCAUUUACUGAAAUCUGUUAGAUUCUAAACUUAUAUGCAUUGAUCCUCUUGUAAUGAUUAUGCACAAAGUCACAAAGACUUGAAAAAAAACAUUACAGAGCAUUCCAAAGAGAUCAACUCCUUUGAAACAUCCAUCUUGCAUUAAGUUUCCUAAUCUUACACAGAUUUAUUGAACAACUUCCACUUUCCCAUAUUCCCAUUUUGACUAUCACUUCUGAACAAGAGUUGCCUCUUUUCAGAAUGUGUCAAUAUGCUCCUUCCAAAAAUUUACAUUAUACUUCCAACUGUCCCUACGCAGCCAAUCUUUGGUAAACCUUAGAUUUUCCUCGACAAUUGCUUAUUCAUUUUAGUCAUAUCCAAUUCUAGACCUUUUCCCUUCUUAAUGCCCCAGGCAUUUGGAAAAUUUCAGAAAGGAUGAAUAUUAUAGCACAUGCAAUCGAUACUAUAUUCGAAGCAUAUGGGAAACGAUUAAUGAUGUCUCACAUAAAGACAUGAUACUAGACCAGUCCUUUUGCUACAAUAUUUCUAUUUGCCAAAUUCUCAUAAUUCAGAUUAUAAAAAGGGAUGCCGUAAUCAUAAUCGAAUUUUAGAACGCAAAUAAUAGACCUAUAUAUAGAAUUUCCUUAUGUUGAGCCAUUCCAACACAAAAUUCAUAUAUAUCCUUGACUAAAGAUGAUUAAAACCUCAAUCUAAGCUUGUAGAUUUGAGACGAAGUAUAAUUUCCUCUCACUUAAUUAUAGAAAAACAACUUUUCAGCCCCUGCAACUCCACGAAUUGAAAGUUUUGUUUUCUAUAAUUAAAAUUACUAACUUGCAACCUUUAUAAUAAUUAUCAUGCUUCCACUAACAUGAUGAUUAUUAGAAAUAACACUAAUGCUCCCACUAGCUUUGACAUGUACUCAGAAAUCAACUAGACUUCUAGAAAUCAAUACUUUAUUGACUUUCUUACCAAAGUUUAGAUUUCUGAGACGAGAUUGCCUUGAUAAGACUUUAUCAAAAUCAUACACCUUAUCUUAGAUAGCUCAUAUGUGUGUCUAAACAAUUUCAAAACUAUGAAAAGGGAUGUCAUAAUCAUAGUCUCAAUUGUUUAGACCUUUUGCCAUCUGCUUCAAAUCUACUUGGUGGAAGUGUUUCCUCACCAUCAAUUUCAUGAAUCGGAGAGAAACCUUAUGACCCUUAGAUUUUAUGGUGUAUGUUUUCUUAUCCAUGUGAAUUUUCAAAACCAUAGUCACAAGACAUGGAUAAUGACAAAUCCAAACUCAUAUGAACUGAACUCAAUCUUAUUUUCUUGCCACCUUAUGCAACCAAUUGAGAACUCUAAGAACUCAUAUGCAAAGCCAGCUUUAACUGGAAUGGGCAUAGAAAUAGAAAUAUGUCAACAUGAUAGGUUAUAAACCUCACGUGGUGUUCUAAUGUUAAACUACAUGUUUUUAUUCUUGAUUAGAUCUUGAAAUUCUUCCAGGAUCUUUAAGACUCCCAUUAUCCUCUUGACACAUAAGACUCACUUGCCAAAUAUUCAGGAGAUAGUUUGGAUUCUUUAUCAAGACAAACACUUCACACAAUUGGUCUUAGUUGAUCUUUGUUUUAUCCAAAAAAUCACAACUUACCAAUUUCAAAUGUACAAGAGUAGGAUACUUUUACUUUUACAUUUGACAAGUGUUAUAAACCUAUCUUUAAGAUAUGUCACUCAAGUUACAAUCUUGGAGUAUGACUCUAAGAAUUGUUUUGGAACAAAGUAUGACUCAUCUUCUUGAUUUAACCAUUUCAAUAAUUCAUGACUCCUCUUCUUAGUCAUAAGAAUGCACUAAGAUUUCCUUAGAGGACUAAUUGUGAUAUGAUUUCUAAAUCAUUAAGAUGAUCACAAAACUUGAUACUAAAGUACUCUCCCAUCUUUUCAGAUUUGAGAAACUUUUAUCCUUCUGCCUAAUUUGAUUCUUCUCAUUCGUUCUGCCAUACAUCGAAAUUAUUCCAAUGUAUCAGAAUUACACUUAAACUUGUAAGUGUAACCAUAUUUACUAAACUUUAGUAAAUCAUGACGAAUAGUCUUAUAGAUCUUUUGUGGUGGACUUGAUAUGUGCACAAGAAUGUGUACUCGAUCCAUUAGUCCUUCACUUGACUCACAUAUAAAUGUGAACAAGGAACUAGUCUUAAUUUUCCAAAGCUGAAAGUUCUCAUUCAUCAUAUUGUACAACUUGUAUGAUUCCAAGUUUCUAUCCAACUGAAACUUGGGUGAUGAGAAUCUUUCUUUGUUUGGUAAAUUUAGACACUAACACAAAUGAAAGAUCAAAUCCACUUUCCAAUAUUGCUAUCAAUGGAAUCAUAUAAACAACAUUUUCCACAAAUGCCAUUGUAAGGAUACUUAGAAUAAAUAAAACCAAAAAAUUUUAUUUUAAAACUUUGCGGAAAACUUAUCCUUACAAUGAAAAAGCAUAUGAAAAACUUGUUGUUAUCUAUUCCUAAGGAAAAUUACAUAACUCCUAAGUAACAGCUCAAAAUUCUGAUCACCGAACCAUGCGAUCGGAAUCCAUCUUCGCGAUCAGAAUCAGCAUAUACUUCCUUUAAGUUUCUUCACCUUUUCUUUGAUUCUUAAAACAUCAACAUGUGACCUCGUCACNAGAAUAGAAACUUAACAGAGUUUGAUAGUGGACUUUACCUGAAGAUCUUUCAGGUAAUUUUGGCGGCUUCGUAGCCAAUGCCCCUUACCAUGUACCAUUGUCAAUGUCCAUGGAAGUUGAUCUUCUAAUCAAAUUUGAUCUACUAUUCCUCCUAAUCAUUGUUGAUUUAGAAGCACCAAGCAAAUAGAUAAGAUCAUUAAGGGUCAUGUCAUAGUCUGUUCCAUAGUAGUCCCAAAGGAACUCACUAUGUGACAUAGAAAGUGAUUGAACAUCCAACUUUCUCAAGACUUUGACACCCAACGCUCCCGGCUUGUCAAUAUGUGACUUUAUCUCCAAGAUGCGAGCACACAUAGACUUUGCUUGCCAAUAAGGCUUAAGUGACCAUGAACUUAUGGGUUAGGGAGAAUAAUUGGAGGAGAUGGAGGAAGUGAAGUUCCAAGAGAUUUGGGAAGAUCAUUGUUGUCUAAACCAGACAUUAACAAUGGGAGAAAUUCAAGUAAAGUUGAUUUAAGUCCUUAAUAUAACACCCAAUAUGAAAUAUUAAGGCUAGGACCCAACAAACUAUUUUAUAACUUGGAAGAGGGAUGCCGUAAUCCAAGCUAUAAAAUAUUUGAAGGUAGGUGAAUGACGAUUCACCAAUUUCCACCAAGAUAAACGAAAUGUAUUAUUAGGUUUUAAUUGGUUUUGAAACUCCUAGAUCUUUUAGAUUCAUUGAACUGUUCAAAGGCAUGUUUCAAUCUCGAGUGUGCCCUUCAGGUUUUGUGACUGGGAUGCCGAGGAUCACAAAACAAGGUGUGAAGUAACCAUGCAAAUCACUUGGUACCCUUAAUAAAUUACCCCUCAAUCGAUGUGCCGGUUAACCACAUACGCUCCACCGAUACUAUGAUAAACAUUAAGUUACCAUUUGCCUACUUUGUUAAGUCCAGGUUAGUGUGCCGGUUAACCACAGACGCUCCACUAAUGAUUUAACCAAAGUGAAAAGUGUAAUUUCAUGGAUUAGCACCUUAUAUACAUUCUCCUAAGUAACUAAGAUAGAGAAUUUAUAAGUGUUUAGUUACUUAGUAUUUAUCAUUAUACUUAUAAUGAAGGGAGAAUUAUAGUCCUUGUCUUACCUGUUCGGCUAAUGACCCUCCACCAGUCAAGGAAGCGGUGGGUGAGAGUGGACACCCAUUAAGUUGCCAUUUUAUAGGCAACAACCUUAUNCAUAUAUAAAUAUUAUUAACUUAUAAUAUUAUAAAGUAUAAGGGUUGAAUUUUAACUUUUAAGAUUCUAAAGGCUUAACUUGGAAUUAAAGUAUUCAUGGGAAAACUUUACAAAUUCCAAAACUUGAGGGAAAGUUUUGAAACUAUUCAAAACUUUUCAUUUCAUAACUUAUGAGUUUAAUGGUUCAUUAAAAUGAAGACUUUUCAUUUUUUAUGUAACCUCUUAUUCUUUAAUAACACUUUUAAAGAAGUGACUCUUAAACAUCCAUAACUUGAGGACAAGUUAUGGAAUCAUAAUACUAUUUAAUGAAAAAAAACUCUUCAUUUUACGUAACCUAUGGCACUUUUAUGAGUUUUAAGAUUCAUAAAUGUGACCUUUUAUGUAACUUGAGGACAAGUUACAAAAACACAUUUUAUGAACUAGAUUAAUUAGGAUUGAAAACAACUAAAACAUAAUUUUUUUUAUUAAUCUAAACUAACUCAUAAUUCAAGGAAACAUAAAACUUUUCGUAAUCCAUAACUUAUGGAGUUAAAUGCUUGUUUUAUGAUGAAACUUUUCAUGUUCCAUAACUUAAGAAUAAGUUAUGGAAUUCUUUAAAACAUUAACACCAAAUUUUGUAACUCCAUAAAAAACUUUGAAUAAUUUUUUUUUUAAAACCUUUCAUAUCCAUAACUUAUGGAGGUUUAAAAAACACUCUUUAGAUCAAACUUUUAAAACUAAUAAAAUAAUCAUAUCAUUUUAUCUUUUACUAAAUUUGACAUAAUUCAACUCAUAUAGCAAAUGAUUCAAAUUUUACAAAUAAUUAGUUUUUCACAAAAACAAGUAAUUAUCUUAAAAUUUGACAAACGUCAUGUUUUUUUUUCCUUUUUUUUCAACUUUGAAAAUAAAACAUUUGCAUCAAUAUAACAGAAAACAACCCAUGGCUCUGAUACCACUGUUGGGUUUUGAGCAUUCUAACACUCCUAAGUGUACAUGCAACCCUAAAUACCUUGGAUCUAUGUUUUCUAUAUUAUACAUGCAAAUAUGAAUAUUCCAAGGUAUUACCCUAUCUAGCAUACAAUCCUUGAUACUUGGGUAAUAUAACAAGUUAGAAUACAUACCUUUUAAUGAAGCUUGAAGUCUUGAACUUUAAGAGCUUAGCCCCAAUAGUGUGGAAGCCUCAAGUGGAAUCACAAAUCACCAAAACACCUUGGAAAACCUUUAGAGAAUAUGGAUACUUGGCUCACACUUAUGAAAUUGGUUAUUGCCCUCUUUAGUGUAUCCACACUAGCCACUAGCACAAUUUCAUGAACCAUAGGACCCUUUAUAUAGUGUGGAGGAUUAGGGUUAAACCUUAAUACCCAUGACCUUUCAUUUCCUAGGAUCCAUGGGUUAAAGCUCCAUGGACUAUCCAUGAUAGCUUAGCCCAACCUAAAUGAACUUGGCCCACUACAUAUAUAUCUAAGAGUCCAUAUUUAUUUAGUUCCUUUUGAUCACUGAAUUAAUUAUAAAUUAAUUUUUGAACAAUACUAAUUAAAUAAUAUGAUUCCAUAUUAAUAUAUUAGAAAUUAUAAUAUAUUAAUAUAAAUCGUAAACAUACUAUUCUCAAAAGACUAUCCAUAUAAAUUGUUCCGGUGAAGUGCAACCCAAAUGGACCAUGCCGAGUCGGGUCAAGUACAUACCAGAUAUAGUUAUGGACUUAGACAUUAAUCCAACAGUUAGUACAGCGGUAUUUACUAUAACAUAAAACUACAGUACUUCAUUAUUUUCCCCAUUACAUUUAUUUGCGAUCUACACAUAAACAAUAAUGUACAAACUAUAUUUUAUUAAUGAUGGUCACAUUUGGGAGGAAUACUCACUCUUACAAUGAACAAACACACAACACACUUGAUGCCUUGGUAGAAGGCUACUUUUAGUAGAAAAUAUAGGAUUUUCUAAGAGAUACAAACAAUUACUACAAACAUUUACAAACUCAUACAUUCAAAUGCAUACAAACAAUGACACUAAAAUGCUUAUGAACUCACCAGCUUUAAAGCUGAUAAACUCUUGCAAAAUAACUUGUAUUCUCAGGUCGUCAGUAGACAGGUACCGAGGCUUACUUUUGAGAAGAUGGAGCACUUUCAAGACUCAUCUUUAAUUUUGAUUCAUUAUUUUUGGUGUCUUAUAUCCUGUACAGAACACACUUGUAUUAAAAUAUAUUAUUAAUGCAAUGAAGGAUGUUGUUUGCUUGUUUACUAUAUUUCUGUGUUGUGAUAGUGUACAUGAUGUCCUCCGCCCCAGAACGUUUCCGCCGUUCCGGUUUUGGAGUGUGACAGAUUGGUAUCAGAGCAUUGUUUAUAGUGAAUUGAGUAUAUCAACCCAUAAAAAAAUAUUUAAACUAUAAACACAAUGGGAUUAAAAUACUCUGACCAAAAGUUUAUCCUUUUCAAUAAUAAAAUAUUUAACUAAGUAUACAAACCUGCAUUCAUACUAAAAUCAGUGUCACUAGGACAGAAAGAAAGUAUUACGAUUGUUGAAUAUCACAAGUAAGCUCGGGGAUGUAUGGCUAGUUCUGGGAGUGGCAUAACUUGAUCAACUAUGCUGGUCCGAGAAGUGAUUAGCAUAUGCCCAAGAAUGGUUGUGAUAUGGCAACAAGUCUAAAAACUUACCAACACUACUACAAUGAAAACUUUAGAACAAAACAUAAUUCUAAAAUACAAUAGGAGUAUUUUGUGUUACAAUAAUUCUUAUCUGAGAACUAAAAAGGUCUUUAUUAGGAGGUCAAUAUUUGUUAAAUGGAUAUGCUAAGGUUAGAUGAGAAUGAGGUGUCAUAGACUUAGAAUCUGUGAUCUUUGCUUUAUUUCCUGUUCCUUGUUUGGUUGUGGAUUUGGAGUUAGGGUCACUUAUUCGAAAGUCUAUCUUGUGUUGAUUUCAUAUAAUUGGUAUGCACUAUGCAAGUAUUGAAGUAACUGGUAAGGGUCAUAUUAUAAUUAUCUUAAGUAGUACGCCUAUUUUUAUAAGAUUCUUAUAUCCCUUUUCUCGCAUAGAUAUCAUGGUUGGAUUCCAUCCUCCUAACGACCCGUACUUUCCAGAUCAAGGCAAUGUUGCAUGGCUUGAAGAUGAGCCAGAAGAUGACCAUCCAAUUCCCUUUGGAUGAUCACCUCGCUGAAGGCUUUUCUAAUAGUUCUGACGGCUUUUCUGAUAGUUCCGACUUCGAGCCAUAAGUCAACAACCUACCCCAAGAUAGACAAGCCCCAAAUGUUAACCCCCGACCAACAUUUCAAGGUCCCACACCCUUGUGGGCGACAAACUUGAAUCGCUGGAGUGAUAAGCAGGGUCAACCCUUACCCUUCAAUGGAGACCGAAGCUUUUACAACCUAAGCGAUGGUGGCUCAGCUGACCGAGUCCUGCCCAUCAUUGUUCGUAAAAUUGCUCGGAACGUCGAGCAAGGUCGUGCAUCCAUCGACCGAGUCAUGGAAAUUGACGCCAACUCUGGUGUUAACACGGUUUGCAUUCACCAUCUCGAAACAGCUAUGGAAAGGUCUAGGAGAACCAAUGAAGCUCUGUAGCAACAAGUAGUUGCAUCCCAAGCUGAAGUCAGAAAACUUCGAGCUCGUCAGGAAAUGACUGAAAGGCGCAUGAGAUACAUGGAACACCGUCUGUCAGAGCCAAGGGCUCAUUCUAGUGGUUCUCGUCGUAGAUAUAGCCUACUCAACUCUCUCUUUUGGAUAUAACUUAGUUAUGUAGAAACUCUAGUUUGAUUUUCCUAUUUUAUAAAUACUUUGGAUCUGUCAAGUCUUGAUUAGGUCGUACUUCUGUCAAAAUUUUCCCAUCUUGGUUUGAUGUAAGACCUACUUUUAGGUCAUUUUUUUCCGAACUUGUUACAUCAAUAAUACUAGUAAUAUUGACAGAUAUCUAACCUAUUAGAAAGGUUGUACUCUUGUGUCUCUCUACACCCCUAUUGUGUCUCUAUUUCAAAACAUACACUCAUUCAACUGUUGGACUAUGUCAAUUUAGCCCAUGGAUCACUCUCACCGUGCUUACAAUUGAUUCUUAUUAUCAUGUUCAUCUUUAUAAACUUAUAGUUGAAAGAUGCCUCCUCGAAAUUCGGCAUGGCGUAAUACUUCGAUUACUCCAACUCUAAUACCACCACCUCCUCCGCAAUUCGAUGCAACAGCUCUAAAUGAUGCAGUAGUUGUGGCUGUAGCAACAACCAUGGCUCAAUAUCACUCUACGGGUGCCAGCGGAGGUGGAACCCCUGUUAAUUCUACGCAAGGUGAACUCCUCGUGCUCUCAAGAAAGUGCUCCUACAAGGACUUCACCAAUUGCAAACCAAAGUCCUUGAAAGGGACUGGCGGAGUCAUUGCCCUCUCGCAAUGGUUCGAAAAGAUGGAGUCGAUCUUCGAGAUCUGCUCCUGCUCAGCAGGGAGCAAGGUCAAGUUUACUGCUUGCACCUUCUAAGAAAAAGCCCUGACAUGGUGGAAUAGCCAUGUCAAGUUACUAACCCUGAUGGUGGCAAAUGAUAUGGGCUGGGAAACUCUGAAAGACCUGAUGAUUGAGGAAUACUGCCCGAGGGGCGAGAUCCAAAAGUUAGAACAAGAACUAUGGAGCCUAACCAUGAAGGGCUCCGACAUAGAUUCUUAUACUGCCAGAUUCAGUGAGGUGGUUUCCCUCUGUCCUAACAUGGUUCCUACAGAGGGAAAGAAAAUCGAGAGGUACAUCUGGGGCUAGUGCCUCCAUUUCAGGGAAACGUCUUAUCUUCAAAUCCCUAUACCUUCGAUAGUGCCAAGUGAUUGGCACAACGACUCAUUGACCAUGGGGUUCGUACCCCAUCAUCAACAACAACCCUAGCCAUCUCCGAAUCUUCCAAAGCCACUGACAACAAGCGGAAGUUCUGGGAUGACAAGAAGAAACAAAAAGAUGCCAAAAAGCAGCAGGUUGUGGCGGUUCAUGCUGUGAUAGCACUUGUCGCUGCUGCUCCGAUAAAGCAGUACUCUGGAAGCUUGCCAAUGUGCAAUAAAUGCAACUUCCACCACAAUGGACCCAACCGAGAUUCGCAGUGCUACAAAUGCAACAAAAAGCGACACACUGUCCGCUUUUGCAGAUCCUCGGCAAAGCCAAUCAACCAAGUUCCCGACGCUGGUGUGGGCUAGGCCUGCUACGGUUGUGGCGAGGUGGGACACUACAAGAGGAACUACCAGGAUUACCUCCCAAACAACAAGGCGAGUUCAGAAUCGACUUAGUUCUAGGAGCUACCCCAGUAGCCAAAUCGCCCUAUCGUCUAGCACUAACUGAGAUGCAGGAACUGACUGGGCAACUUAACGAACUGCUCAGGAAGGGCUUUAUUAGACCAAGCUUCUCACCCUGGGGAGCACUGGUCUUGUUCGUCAAGAAGAAAGACAGAUCAUUUCGUAUGUGCAUCGACUACACGGAGCUCAACAAGCUAACGGUUAAAAAUCGUUACCCUUUGCCUCGCAUAGACGAUUUGUUUGACCAAAUGCAAGGGGCGUCUUACUUUUCAAAGAUUGAUCUGAGGUCCAGGUAUCACCAGUUGCGAGUGUUGGAGGAGGAUGUUCCGAGGACAGCCUUCCGAACUCGUUACGGACACUACGAGUUCGUAGUGAUGCCAUUCGGAUUGACAAAUGCGCCCGCGGUAUUUAUGGACUUAAUGAGUCUGGUAUGUCGUCCUUACUUGGAUUAGUUCAUCAUCGUUUUCAUCGAUGACAUACUUAUCUACUCUCCAAGUAAGGAGGAACAUAGUGAUCAUCUGCGACAAGUCCUAGGAACCCUACGAACACAGAAACUCUAUGCAAAGUUCUCUAAAUGCGAAUUUUGGAUAUGAAGGGUCGAAUUUUAAGGACACGUGGUUAGUAAAGAAGGAAUCCACGUGGACCCUUCCAAAAUUAAGGCCAUUGAGAAUUGGUCAGCACCGAAGACGCCUACCGAAAUUGGACAAUUUCUAGGCCUCGCUGGCUACUACCGCAGAUUCAUACAGAACUUCUCGCGAAUUGCGAAGACUCUUAUGACAUUGACCCAGAAGGGUGUGUCCUUUGACUGGGAAAAGAAGUAAGAGAAAGCGUUCCAAACGCUGAAACGAGCUUAAUGCACCGCUCCGAUACUAUCCCUCCUAGAAGGAAUAAAAGACUUCAUAGUCUAUUGUGAUGCAUCUAAUCAAGGGCUCAGUUGUGUUCUAAUGCAACGAGGUAAGGUCACUGCCUACGCCUCAAGGCAACUGAAGACAUACGAGGUCAACUACAACACACACGAUCUUGAGUUGGGAGCAGUUGUGUUUGCUCUGAAGAUAUAGAGACACUACCUAUAUGGUAAAAAAAGCACUAUCUUUACAGACCACAAAAGCCUACAACACAUAUUCAACCAGAAGGAGCUCAAUAUGAGACAACGAUGGUGGGUUGAGCUACUCAAUGACUAUGGAUGUGAAAUUUGUUAUCACUCGGGUAAAGCCAAUGUAGUAGCAGAUGCCCUAAGCCGGAAAGAAUAUUCUGGUCGAAGAGUCAAGUCAUUGACUAUGACUAUCCAUUCUCAUCUGUCCACACAAAUUAAGGAGGCUCAGCUCAAAGCCUUGAAACCUGAAAAUGCGGCGGGUGAAUCCCUGUUAGGAAUGGAUAAGAACUUGGAAGUCAAGGGUGGCGAAGCUUUGUAUCUCAUGGACCGGAUCUGGACGCCGAAGCAUGGUGGAAUUAGAGACUUGGUCUUGACCGAGGCACAUAACACUCGAUAUUCCGUCCACCCGGGAUCAGAUAAAAUGUAUUUGGAUCUUAAACAGUUAUACUGGUGGCCUAACAUUAAAGCAGAGAUUGCUACCUUUGUAAGUAAAUGCCUUACUUGCGCUAAGGUCAAGGUCGAAUACCAGAAGCCCUCAGGGUUAUUACAACAACCAGAGAUACUGUAGUGGAAGUGGGAGCGGAUCAUAAUGGAUUUCAUAACCAAGUUGCCCAAGACAUCGGGUGGACUUGAUACCAUUUGGGUCAUCGUCGAUAGAUUGACCAAAUCCGCACACUUCCUGCCCAUCAAGGAAACUGACAAGAUGGAAAAGCUUACAAGAACUUACAUCAAGGAGAUCGUACAACUGCAUGGUGUUCCUAUAUCCAUUAUCUCCAAUAGAGAUAGUAGGUUCACUUCGAGGUUCUGGCAGUCGCUACAAAAUUCCCUAGGGGCGAGACUGGACAUGAGUACAGCCUACCACCCACAGACCGACGGACAAAGUGAGACAACUAUCCAAACACUAGAGGAUAUCUUACGAGCCUUGUGAUCGACUUGGGAGAGCAUGGGAUACUCAUUUUCCCCUUGUCGAGUUCUCCUACAACAACAAUUAUCACACGAGCAUAAAGGCUGCUCCAUUUGAAGCCCUCUAUGGCCGGAAGUGCAUAUCCCCUCUAUGUGCUGGGCUGAAGUGGGUGACACACAGUUAGCUAAAGGACGAGUUCCUGACAGCGCUCUCAUAGGUCCGAAGAUCAUUCGGUAAACGACAGAGAAGAUCGUUCAGAUUCAUGAACAAUUGAAAUGUUGUAUUAAUGUCUAAGGCCAUAACUAUAAUUGGUAAAACUUGACCCAACCCGGCAUGGUCCAUUUGGGUUGCAUGGCAUCGGGACAAUUGGAUAGACAAGAUGAGGAAAAAGGAUACUGGUGAUUUUAUAUUAAUAUAUUAUAAGAUCUAAUAUAUUAAUAUAUAAUCAUAUUAUUUAAUUAGUAUUGAUCAAGAAUUAAUUUAUAAUUAAUUAAGUGAUCAAAAGGAACUAAUUAAAUAUGGACUCUUAGAUAUAUAUGUGUGAUGGGCCAAGUUCAUUUAAGUUGGGCUAAGCUUUCAUGGAUAGUCCAUGGAGUGUUUAACCCAUGGAUCAUANNNNNNNNNNNNNNNNNNNNNNNNNNNNNNNNNNNNNNNNNNNNNNNNNNNNNNNNNNNNNNNNNNNNNNNNNNNNNNNNNNNNNNNNNNNNNNNNNNNNNNNNNNNNNNNNNNNNNNNNNNNNNNNNNNNNNNNNNNNNNNNNNNNNNNNNNNNNNNNNNNNNNNNNNNNNNNNNNNNNNNNNNNNNNNNNNNNNNNNNNNNNNNNNNNNNNNNNNNNNNNNNNNNNNNNNNNNNNNNNNNNNNNNNNNNNNNNNNNNNNNNNNNNNNNNNNNNNNNNNNNNNNNNNNNNNNNNNNNNNNNNNNNNNNNNNNNNNNNNNNNNNNNNNNNNNNNNNNNNNNNNNNNNNNNNNNNNNNNNNNNNNNNNNNNNNNNNNNNNNNNNNNNNNNNNNNNNNNNNNNNNNNNNNNNNNNNNNNNNNNNNNNNNNNNNNNNNNNNNNNNNNNNNNNNNNNNNNNNNNNNNNNNNNNNNNNNNNNNNNNNNNNNNNNNNNNNNNNNNNNNNNNNNNNNNNNNNNNNNNNNNNNNNNNNNNNNNNNNNNNNNNNNNNNNNNNNNNNNNNNNNNNNNNNNNNNNNNNNNNNNNNNNNNNNNNNNNNNNNNNNNNNNNNNNNNNNNNNNNNNNNNNNNNNNNNNNNNNNNNNNNNNNNNNNNNNNNNNNNNNNNNNNNNNNNNNNNNNNNNNNNNNNNNNNNNNNNNNNNNNNNNNNNNNNNNNNNNNNNNNNNNNNNNNNNNNNNNNNNNNNNNNNNNNNNNNNNNNNNNNNNNNNNNNNNNNNNNNNNNNNNNNNNNNNNNNNNNNNNNNNNNNNNNNNNNNNNNNNNNNNNNNNNNNNNNNNNNNNNNNNNNNNNNNNNNNNNNNNNNNNNNNNNNNNNNNNNNNNNNNNNNNNNNNNNNNNNNNNNNNNNNNNNNNNNNNNNNNNNNNNNNNNNNNNNNNNNNNNNNNNNNNNNNNNNNNNNNNNNNNNNNNNNNNNNNNNNNNNNNNNNNNNNNNNNNNNNNNNNNNNNNNNUGCCUAUAAAAUGGCAGUUUAAUGGGUGUUCACUCUCACCCACCGCUUCCUUGACCGGUGGAGGGUCAUUAGCCGAACAGGUAGGACAAGGACUAUAAUUCUCCCUUCAUUAAAAGUAUUAAUGAUAAAUAUAAAGUAACUAAAUGUUUUUUAUCAUUCCCAAUCUUAGUUUCUUUAGGAAAAUGUGAAUAAGAUGCUAAUCCAUGAAAUUACAAUUUGCAUUUUGUUUAAGUCGGUUAGUGGAGCGUGUGUGGUUAACCAACACACUAACUCGUAUUUAACAAGGUAGGCAAAGGGUNNNNNNNNNNNNNNNNNNNNNNNNNNNNNNNNNNNNNNNNNNNNNNNNNNNNNNNNNNNNNNNNNNNNNNNNNNNNNNNNNNNNNNNNNNNNNNNNNNNNNNNNNNNNNNNNNNNNNNNNNNNNNNNNNNNNNNNNNNNNNNNNNNNNNNNNNNNNNNNNNNNNNNNNNNNNNNNNNNNNNNNNNNNNNNNNNNNNNNNNNNNNNNNNNNNNNNNNNNNNNNNNNNNNNNNNNNNNNNNNNNNNNNNNNNNNNNNNNNNNNNNNNNNNNNNNNNNNNNNNNNNNNNNNNNNNNNNNNNNNNNNNNNNNNNNNNNNNNNNNNNNNNNNNNNNNNNNNNNNNNNNNNNNNNNNNNNNNNNNNNNNNNNNNNNNNNNNNNNNNNNNNNNNNNNNNNNNNNNNNNNNNNNNNNNNNNNNNNNNNNNNNNNNNNNNNNNNNNNNNNNNNNNNNNNNNNNNNNNNNNNNNNNNNNNNNNNNNNNNNNNNNNNNNNNNNNNNNNNNNNNNNNNNNNNNNNNNNNNNNNNNNNNNNNNNNNNNNNNNNNNNNNNNNNNNNNNNNNNNNNNNNNNNNNNNNNNNNNNNNNNNNNNNNNNNNNNNNNNNNNNNNNNNNNNNNNNNNNNNNNNNNNNNNNNNNNNNNNNNNNNNNNNNNNNNNNNNNNNNNNNNNNNNNNNNNNNNNNNNNNNNNNNNNNNNNNNNNNNNNNNNNNNNNNNNNNNNNNNNNNNNNNNNNNNNNNNNNNNNNNNNNNNNNNNNNNNNNNNNNNNNNNNNNNNNNNNNNNNNNNNNNNNNNNNNNNNNNNNNNNNNNNNNNNNNNNNNNNNNNNNNNNNNNNNNNNNNNNNNNNNNNNNNNNNNNNNNNNNNNNNNNNNNNNNNNNNNNNNNNNNNNNNNNNNNNNNNNNNNGGGCAUUGGUUGCGAAGCUGCCAAAUUUACCUAAGGAUGUUAAAGUCAAUAAGUUUGACUCUACUUCAGGUAAAGUCCACUAUCUAACUCUGUUAAGUUUCUAUUCUGAGAUUCUUGAUACAUGAUGUGACUGGGUCACAUGUUGAUGUUUUAAGAAUCAAAGAAAAGUGAAGAAACUUAAAGAAAGAAUAUGCUGAAUCUGAUCGCGUAGAUUGAUUUCUAUCGCAUAGUUUGAAGAUCGAAUUCUUGAGCUACUUCUUAGGAGUUAUGAUAUAUUGCUUAGGAACAGAUAACAACAUAGUUUUCAUGCUCUUUUGCAUUGUAAGGAUAGUUUUUCCGCAAAGUUUUUAAAAUAAAAGGAAAAAAUGAUGAUUUUAUUUAUUUUAAAAUAUCCUUACAAUGGCAUUUGUGGAAAAAAAAUUGUUGCUUAUAUGAUUCCAUUAAUAGCAAGAGUGGAAAUAUGAAAUUGAUUCUUUCAUUUGUGGUAAUGUCUAAAUUUACCAAAUAAAGAAAGAUCCUCAUCACCCAAGUUUCAUUUGUACUGAAACAUGGAAUCAUUCAAGUUGUACAACAUGAUGAAUGAGAAUUUUUCAUCUUUGGAAAAUUAAGACUAGUUCCUUGUUCACAUGUAUAUGUGAAGUCAAGUGAAGUACUAAGGGAUUGAGUACACAUUCUUGAGCAUUGGUCAAGUCCACCACAAAAUAUCGAUAAGAUUAUUCGUCAUAAUUUACUAAAGCUCAGUAAAUAUGGUUACACUUACAAGCUUAAGUGUAAUUCUGAGACAUUGGAAAAGGUUCCAAUGUAUGGCAGAGCGAAUAAGAAGAAUCAAAUAAGGCAGAAGGAUAAAAGUUUCUCAAAUCUGAAAAGAUGGGAGAGUACUUUAGUAUCAUGUCAUAUGAUCAUCUUGACAAUUAAGAGACCUUAUCACAAUUCAUUCUCUAAGUGCAUUCUGAUAGCUAAGAAGAGGAGCUAUGAAUUGUUGAAGUGGUCAAAUCAAGAAGAUGAGUCAUACUUCGUUUCAAAACAAGUCUUAGAGUCAUACUCCAAGACUGUAAGUUAAGUGAUAUAUCUUAAAGAAAGGUUUCAAACACCUGUCAAAUGUAAGAGUAAAAGUGUCCUACUCUUGUACAUUUGAAAUUGGUAAGUUGUGAUGUUUUCGAUAGAACAAAGACCAACUUAGGCCAAUUGUGUGAAGUGUUUGUCUUAAUAAAGAAUCCGCAUUAUCUCUUGAAUAUUUUGCAAGAUAGUCUUAUAUGUCAAGAGGACAGUGGGAGUCUUAAAGAUCCUGGAAAAAAAAUUCAAGAUCUAAUCAAGAAUAAAAAACAUGUAGUUUAACACUAGCACACGACGUAAGGUUUAUAACCUAUCAUGUUGACAUAUUUCUAUUUUUGUGCCCAUUCCUUUUAAAGUUGGCUUUGCAAUGAGUUGUUAGAAUUCUCAAUUGGUUACAUAUCAACUUGGAAGCAAUGGCAGGCCCUUGAGCUGCCAGGUGGCAAGAAUUUAAGAUUGCACAAGUUCAGUCCAUUUGAAUUUGGAAUUGUCGCUAAUCUUGUCUUGUGAUAAUGGUUUUGACAAAAAUUCAUAUCGAAAGGAACACAUAUACCAUAAAAUCUAAGGGUCAUAAGGUUUCUCUCCGAUUCAUGAAAAUGAUUGUGAGGAAACAUUUCCACCAAGUAGAUUUGAAGCAGAUAGCAAAGGUCUAAACAAUUGAGACUAUGAUUACGGCAUCCCUUUUCAUAGUUCUGAAAUUGUUUAGACACAUGUGUGUGCUAUCUAAGAUAAUGUGUAUGAUUUUUGAGUACAUGUCAGAGCUAGUGGGAGCAUAAGUGUUAUGCUAAUAAUCAUCAUGUUCGUGGGAGCAUGAUAAUUAUGAUAAGUAUUUCAUGUUAGCAAUGUUAUUUAUAGAAAACAAAAGUUUCAUUUCGUGAGGCUGCAGGGGUUGAAAAAGAUGUUUUGCUAUAAUUAAGGGAGAGGAAAUUAUACUUCAUUUCAAUUCUAAAAGCUUAGAUUUAGAUUUUAAUCAAAUUUAGUCAAGAAUAUAUAUGAAUUUCAUGUUGGAAUGUCUCAACAUAAGGAAAUUCUAUAUAUGGGUUCAUUAUUUGCGUUCUAAAAUUCGAUUAUGAUUACGGCAUCCCUUUUCAUAAUCUAAAUUAUGAGAACUUGGCAAACAGAAAUGGAAAUAUUAUAGCAAAAGACUGGUUUAGUCUUUAUGUGAGACAUCAUGAAUCGUGUCCCAUAUGCUUCGGAUAUAGGAUCGAUUACAUGUGUUAUAUUCAUCAUUUCUAAAAUCUUCCAAAUGCAUGGGGCAUUAGGAAGGGAAAAGGUCUAGAAUUGGAUAUGACUAAAAGCAUUAAGCAAUUGUUGAGGAUAAUCUAAGGUUUACCAAAGAUUGAUUUCUCAUGACAGUUGGAAGUAUAGUGUUAAUUGUUGGAAGGACCAUAUUGACAUAUUCUAAAAAGAGGCAACUCUUGUUCAGAAGUGAUAGUCAAAAGGGGAAUAUGGAAAUGAUCCCAUAGGUGGAAGUUGUUCAAUAAAUCUGUGUGAGAUUAGGAAACUUAAUACAAGAAGGAUGUUUCCAAGGAGUUGAUCUCCUUUCGAAUGCUCUAUAAUGUUUGUUGUCAAGUCUUUAUGAAUUUGUGCAUAAUCUUUACAAGAGGAUCAAUGCAUAUAAGUUUAGAAUCUAACAAAUUUUAGUGAAUGGCAUGAAUUUGGAAUUUUUGCAUUUGUAGUAAGGAAUUGGGAGUGUGAAAUGAGAAUCAUUGGAAUGAUGUUCAAUCAAUAUCUUUCACAAAGUAAAGAUCAUAGACAAACAUAGAGUGCAGACUUGGUGUAUGGUAAAGCUAUUGUUUAAAAAAUAAAAACAUAGUGUACAUGCUUGGAGCAUGGGACAACUAGUGUUUUUAAUUCAAGUAUAAAGUUGAUAAAAGUGAAACAAUGAAUAAUUAGUAAUCAGUAUGGUGAUAAAUAAAAGGUGUUUUAUUUAUAUUCAUAGGUUUGAUACCAUAUUAGAUUUAGUUAUUCUUGUGUUUCAUUUUGCAUGUUUUGACUUCCAGAAUAACUAGGUCGUUCUUCCUGAUUGAUAAAGUUAUUCAAACCAUCCACAGUCAGUCAUAUGUUGGAAGUACAUAUGAAUCAAGAUUGUCAUGGGUUGGCUUGUAGAGGUCUAAGUUGUUGGACAAAUUGGUGCUACAACACUCAUGAGUGCUUAUAAGUUCUGAGUAUUGGAUUCAACCCACGCUCAUUUGAAUCACUUCAUGGAUUUUAUCACGAGUGAUAACGAGACGAUAAUAUCUUAUAUUCUUCAAACCUAGAGAUAUGAGUUGUUACUAUGAGUUGGUUGUACAUUGAUUGCACGAAACCGCAUUGGUAACUCGAUGUUAUAAAACGUACCUUUGUGUAUGAUUCAGCAAGUAGUAGAACAAGCCAUAUGAGUCGAAGUUUAUCCAUUCCUUUUACCUUCAGGANAUAUCUGUGGGCCUCUCGAUGAUUUAAUAAUGAUACAUGUGAGUGCUUCGCCAAGCCAGGACUGAUUUGAUUUGUUCAAUCAGUCAGUCAUUAUAAAUCGGAAAUCAGGAAACAACAAAUGGACAGAGAGAAUGAUUAAUAAUCCAUGUCUCAGUCCAUAUGAUAUCUAGAAUGGAGGAAUAUAUGAUCACUUAUCUAAUGGACAAGUCAUUAACAAAGGUCAGAGAUCAUCAGCAAGGUCAGAGUUCGACGAAAGAUUUUGAGAGCUACGAUAGCCAAUCGGUUCUUGAAGUCAUACGCAAUAAUAGUGUUACACGUAUCUAAGUGGGAGACUAUUGGAUUAAUGUCUAAGUCCAUAACUAUAAUUGGUAAGACUUGACCCGACCCGACAUGGUCCAUUUGGGUUGCAUGGCAUCGGGACAAUUGGAUAGACAAGAUGAGGAAAAAGGAUACUGAUGAUUUUAUAUUAAUAUAUUAUAAGUUAUAAUAUAUUAAUAUAUAAUCAUAUUAUUUAAUUAGUAUUGAUAAAGAAUUAAUUUAUAAUUAAUUAAGUGAUCAAUAGGAACUAAUUAAAUAUGGACUCUUAGAUAUAUAUGUGUGAUGGGCCAAGUUCAUUUAAGUUGGGCUAAGCUUUCAUGGAUAGUCCUUGGAGUGUUUAAUCCAUGGAUCAUAAGAAAUGAAAUGUCAUGGGUAUUAGGGUUUAAACCUAAUCUCCACACUAUAUAAAGAGGUCCUUGGUUGGUGAAAUUGGCACAAGUGUGGGUACACUAAGAAGGGCUAGCCGAUUUCACUAGAGAGAACCAAAGUAUCCUUAUUCUCAAGGUUAUUCCAAGUGUUCAUGGUGUUGUGUGAACCAUUUGAGGUGUCACACUUGGGGCACUAGGCACUCAAGGUUCAUGAAGACAAGUUACAUAAAAAAGGUAUGUAUUCUAUCAAUUUUAUUACCCAAGUGUAUGAUAUUUGUAUGCUAGUAUAGGGUAAUAUCUUGGAAACUUCACACUUGCAUGUAUAAUAGAGAAAACAUAGAUCCAAGGUAUUUAGGGUUGUAUGUGCACCAUAGGAUGUUGUAGUAUACUAAAACCCAACAUGAAAGCCUCUAGAGACCAACAAAAAAGCUACACAGACAAACGAAGAAAACCUUUGGAAUUUCAGGUAAGAGACCGCGUUAUUUUGAAAAUCUCACCCUGGAAGGGCUUGAUACGCUUCAGAAAGUGUGGAAAGCUAAAUCCAAGAUACGUAGGGCCUUUCGAUAUUCUCGCUAGAAUCGGCCCUAUAGCUUACAAACUCAACCUACCCCGCUAACUCAGUAACAUACAUUCUACAUUCCACGUCUCGAACUUGAAAAAGUGUCUGUCCGACGAGACUCUUGUAAUCCCACUCGACGAGAUCGAGAUCAAAGAGAGCCUUAACUUCAUGGAAGAACCUGUAGAGAUCAUGGACCGUGAGGUCAAGCAGAUGAAGCAAAGCCGCAUCCCGAUAGUGAAGGUUCGCUUGAACGCCAAUCGAGCUCCAGAAUUCACUUGGGAACGCGAGGAUCAAAUGAAAUUGAAAUAUCCUCAUCUUUUCAAUUAGUUAAUUGUAACUACUUAAUUACUUAAACUCUAAUUUCGGGAUGAAAUUCUCUCUAACGGGGGGAUGAUGUGACAACCCGAAAUAUCUAUCUUGUACAAUAGACCAAUGUAAUCAAAGUUAGACUCGUUUUGCUAUAUUUUAACACAGUUUAAGGUCUAUUUGAGUGUUCUAUACUUAGUACAACUAAUAUAGGAUCCUAGAAAUGGGAUAACACGAUGCAUAUCAAGCAAAACCGGGCCAAACAAUCCAACAACUGGAGUGUGCGGCCACACACAGGUGUGUGCGGACGCACACCCAUCCCAACCACACUCUCUUGCCUAUAUAUGCCACCCUUAGUCAUUUUUUUAACACUUUUUCCACUUCUUCAAAGCUGGAACUCGUUUUCUCUCAAGUAUCAUCCACAUUUCUCUUCAAAUCUUUAAAUCAAGUAAGUGUUGCUUCCUUGAUUCAUUAAUACAUGACCUUGACUAGCUUUCCCUUUGCUUUGAUCCAUGAAAACAUCCAUUCUUGGCCAAGAACACCAAGAACAUAUACUAAACUUUUUGGAGUUUAACCAUAUUUCUAAGCCUCUAAAUCGUGCAUACACUUAUCAUAGCUUGUUAUAUGCCAAGAACGCUUGAAGAUAUGCAGGAAUAACGUCAUUUCUCAUAAUCUCCAGGAGUGUACAGCCGCACACACCAUGCUCAACCAUACACACCCUUUUUAAGUCCUAAAAUGGCAAUGAAGUCCAUAUAAGGCUAGAGCAUGAAGUAAGAAACCUUCCUAGAUGAGUCCUAAGGCCUUAAAAUAUGUUUUAACACACUUCAUGGGGAGUGUGCAGCCGCACACACACCAUGGCCGCACACACACACACACAAAUGGUGUAUUUUGACUAUACACUCCAUUGUAUAGCCAUAUACCCCUUAUAUACAAUCAUAUAUGGUUGUAACACUUCAAUAUAAGUGUUUACUAGUCCCUAAGGUGGUCCCAAUUCAAUAAUUAGUUGUUACCAACACUAAUUGUAUACAUACAUAUGUCAUUAUAUGGUUGAUAGGAUUCGUUUGUGCUUAAGUCCGCAAUUGAAACUCAACUUCCUAAACCGAUCUUACAGUCGCAUCACUCACUACAGGUGAGUUCAUAUCCCUUAAUCAACCUUUUAAAUGUUUUUAAAUGCUUAUAUGGGGGGAUACAAGUUAAAUCACUAUAGUUAUAAUAUUAAUCACAUGUGAUUUAUAACUAUCAAACAAAUGGAUUUACUAUACUUCUAACUGUUUUGUCAACAAAACUACUUCAAAAUGAUUAUCAAACCCUUUUACAUGUUAAACUCAUUAUAAAACUUGCUCUUAAUUACCAAACCAUUACUUUCAAUUUUGUACACUUAUAUAUUGUCAAAACCAUUCCCAGUACAUAUAUAGUUAUAUAAAUAUGGUUCGAAGGACUUAGGACUGAUAACUCGCUUUAAUUCAUGUUCCUUGUUUGGUUGUGGAGUUAGUGUACUCUAUGGUUUGUCCGAGUGUCGUUUGAUCCUUAGUUAUAUAUUAUGUAUAUAUGUAUGGAUAUAAAGGUUUUACUUCAGUUCCAACACCUUUGGAUAGCAAAGGUGUAUAAGCUUUCUAAGUCGUUCAAACAACAGUUCUAGUAAACUAUAAUAGGUAUAGUUUAGGGAUAUACUACUUACUAAUUUCUAGUACAAUGAAACAUAUAAAGAGUCAGUUCAUACAUGAGUCGAUAUAUACUAUACACUAUACAGAGAGAACAUACACUAGUACAUACAAUUCAUACACACUAUAUACUAUGCAGAAGAACAUACUAUGAUGAGAAUCAGAGAGGACAUUCACUACACUACCACAUACAAUACAUCUACACUAUAACAUAAAUGUGAGGCACUACUUCGGGGCAUGCCAUCUCUGUCAUGGCUCGUCUUGUAACCAGAGUCUUCUGAAGGGAGAGCAUGAAUUUGUGUAUAGAUCUAUACUGGACUGACCGUCCUACAACUUGCUGCUAGCUACAGUGGGACCUGCAGGUCUUCGGGUGAUGAAAGUCAUACCAUCUCGACAUCUUCGAGCGUCGUGUUUUACUAGGUCGAUCAAAUAUGGUUACAAAUUAUAUCACAUUAUACCUUAAUUAACAAUUGGUUUAAGGUGGUUAGUACAGCGGUAGUUACUAUAACAUAAAACUACAGUACUUCAUUAUUUCCCCAUUACAUUUAUUUGCGAUCUUCACAUAAACAAUAAUGUACAAACUAUAUUUUAUUAAUGAUAGUCACAUUUGGGAGGAAUACUCACUCUUACAAUGAACAAACACACAGCCCACUUGAUGCCUUGGUAGAAGGCUACUUUUAGUAGAAAAUAUAUGAUUUUCGAAGAGAUACAAACAAUUACUACAAACAUUUACAAACUCAUAGAUUCAAAUUCAUACAAACAUUUACAUACAAACAAAGACACUAAAAUGCUUAUGAACUCACCAGCUUUAAAGCUAAUAAACUCUUUCAAAAUAACUUGUAUUCUCAGGUCGUCAGUAGAUAGGUACCGAGGCCAACCUUUGAGAAGAUGGAUCACUUUCAAGACUCAUCUUUUAUUUUGUUUCAUUAUUUUUGGUGUCUUAUAUCCUGUACAUAACACACUUAUAUUAAAAUAUAUUAUUAAUACAAUGGAUGAUGUUGUUUGCUUGUUUACUAUAUUUCUGUGUUGUGAUAGUGUACGUGACGUCCUCCGCCCCAGAAUGUUUCCGCCGUUCCGGUUUUGGGGCGUGACAGAUUGGUAUCAGAGCAUUGUUUAUAGUGAAUUGAGUAUAUCGACCCAUAAAAGAUAUAUUAACUAUAAACACAAUGGUAUUAAAAUACUUUAACCAAGAGUUUAUCCUCUUAAAUAAUAAAAUAUUUAACUAAGUAUACAAACCUGGAUUCAUACUAAAAUCAAUGUCACUAGAGAAAGGCUAACUGUCUCCAAACUGACCUAGCGGUCUCACAGAACCCACCCAUCCAUGAAACUUCCAGCAACCCUGAAACACUAGUGUAUGCUAGCCAUACAUAACACUGGACUUCGUAGACUUUCGAAUAUCCGAUCCUACCCUAAGCUCCCAAUCAAACAAGAACAGAACAUAAGGCCAAUCAAACAUUCUCAGGCUAUAAAAUCUUAAUUAUGUAUAACCGUUAUGCAUACACUAAGCAACUAUAGUAAUGAUGUCAAUCUCAUGUAAAGGGAACCCUUGGCUAGCAGGCAUCAUGUAAUCAGGCAAUUCUGUCAUGCAAUUCCUGAAGAUCCCUAGCCUAGCACUAGCAUGUUGUUCUAACAUAUCACAUAAUCAAAUAAUUGUAUGGUAUUUUGGGGUCUACUUACUGGCUCCGGCUGAUCGUACACCCUGCAUCCUCCUUUACUUAUUUUGAAAACCACUUUAGAAAUCAUUUUGAAAACCUUUACUUGAUUUGAGACUAGAUUCACAUGAGUGUUCCUCCAAUUCAAUCAAACCAAAUCUCUAAUACCAACUUGUAACAUCCAUAAAAAUCAAAUUUAAACUUUUUAAAACAUUUAGAAACCAACAGUUAUUACCAAUUUGUUUUAAAGACAAUUCUAUAUCAGAGUAUCCCAAAAACAUAGUCAGAAAAGGUGAGGAGCUGUACAAGCAUGUCUUUGCCUUCCUGCGAUCAUCUAAUGUACCUGAAACAAUAAACUGAAACUGUAAGCCUGAGGCUUAGUGAGUUACCCCCAAAAUACCGAUACACAUACAAUCCACUUAACAGUAUCAGCAAUAUCAUAACAUAACAAACUGAACAAAACAGCACGUAAAGGGUCCACAACUUCAUAGACUGGAAUACCCAUGGGCCCACAGUGUGAGUCUGGAAUGCCUACAAGGCCCUCAACUAACAUUAGGAUUGCCAUUGAGCCCUCACUACGAGUCUGGAAUGCCUACCGGGCCCUCAGCUCGUAUCUGGAAUGCUCCCGAGUCCUCAGUAUGAGUUUCGAAUGCCUAUCGGGCCCUCAGCUCAUAUCUGGAAUACUCUAGGGUUUGUUGGCUACCGCACGGAGCAGUACCCCCUCAACCCAUCCCAUAUAACAUGUCGACAUGUAACAGAUAAAUGCAUAAACAGGUAAUCAAUCAGUAUCACAGGUAGUACUGUAGAUCUACCAAACUAGCAUAUCAACUGGCAUACAUCACUAACUCAACUCGACAUUGUUGGAUAAGUGUCUAAGGCUGUAACUAUAUCUGGUAAGUACUUGACCCGAUUGUGCAUGGUCCUUUUGGGUUGCCUUCACCAUAGCAACUUGAUAGGGUGAUUUAGAGAGAAUAGAUAUUAUUAUUAAUGUAUUAUAAGAAUAAUAUGUUAAAAGAAUAAUAAUAUUAUUUGAUUAAUAUAAGUCAUAAGUUAAUUAGGAAUUAAUUUGGUGACUUAAAGAGAUUAAUUGAAUAAAGGGGCAUAAACUGUCAAAUGUGUGAAAGUUGUAUUUUGAGCUAAUAACCCUUAUGGAUAUGGGUUGGACGAUUUUAGGGAUGUGGAUCACCUAGAAAUCAUCCAAGGCCUUAUCUAGAAGAGGAUUUGGAUUGCUUUGAGGCUAAGUUAUCCAAUUAGGGUUUUAGGGUGAAACCCUAGGAGCUCACAGUAUAAAUAGACCCAUAGGGUUGAGGAAAUCGGCCAACCUUGUGAGUGGAGUAACCCUAGAGCCGAUUUCCCUCUUCCUCAUCUCUCUCAAAUCAUCUUCUUGCUAGUUGGUGUUUGUAAGCCAUUAGAGGAGUGACAUUUGUGACUCUACGCUCCAAGAAGAAGAAGGUUUUCAAGCUAGUAAUUCAAGGUAUUAUUCUAGAUCUGUUUUCAUAUGUUUUAAUUGCUAGUUUAUAUUAGAUCUAGCCAUGAAAGUCUUUUAUAUGUUGCAUGUUCAAUUAGUGAAACCUAGAUCCAAGCUAUAGGGUUGUAUGUGCACAUAGGGAAAAUUCUUAUGUCCAAAACCCAUCAAUGGUAUCAGUGCCAUGAUUGGUUUCAAUUGAAUUUGAUGCUUAACUGUUUUGCAUGCUGAAAAUCGUUUUUCUUGCCCUCUGUCGACCCAACUCGGCGAGUUGGCCCUACUUGGCGAGUCCAAAGCUUGACUCAGCGAGUCCAAGCGUCAGACAGAGGAUAAUUCGGGAUUUUGAUGUUGUUUUGUCUUGGAUUGAUACCUAAAUCGUUUUAUUAUGUAAAAAUCCGAAUUUUAACUUAAUUUAAUGAUUAUCCUUGACAUAAAUAUAGAUAAUUUCAAAUCUUUUAAAUAUUGAUUAUUUAUAUGUUAAAUAUUGGACUAUUUAAGAUUAUUUGGUAAUUAUCUAAUGACAAAAAUUUAAUUAGGUCAAAUAUAGAUAAUUAUGAAAUUAAUUGUUUAAUUUGAAUUAUUUGUUAUUUGAUCCCUAUUGUUUUGAAAAGUUCAAUUUUAUCCCGAAGUUUUGAAAUUUGAAUUUCGUGAUUAAUAGUUUAAUUUAGAAGAAUUUAAAUUUCAACCCCUAGAGUUUUACAAGUUUAAAAUUCAACCCUAUACUAUUAUAUUAUUAAAAGUUUAAUAAAUAUAUAAGUAAAAUUAAAAUGCUAGUCUUACCGUUAGUAGGCCUCAUUCACGAAGCCGGUCUAUAAGGUGGGUAUAAGGUUGCUGCCUAUAAAAUGGCGCUUAAUGGGUGUACACUCACACCCACCGCUUGCUUGACUGGUGGAGGGUCGUUAGCCGAACAGGUAGGAUAGGGCAACUUUCUCUCCUCAUUAAUAAGUAUAAUGAACAUAUAAAGUAACUAAACUAUGUUAUAAAAUUCCCAAUCUUAGUUACUUUAGGAAAAGUGAAAUUGAUGCAAUCCCAUGAAAUUGCACUUUGCACCCUUGCUAAGAAGUUAGUGGAGCGUGUGUGGUUUACCGGCACACUAAUUGGUUCUAAGCAAAGGUGGCAGAGGGUGAUUCAUUGUUUAUCAUAGUUCGAUGGAGCGUGUGUGGUUUACCGGCACAUCGAAUAGAUGAUUGUAACAAUGAAGGCACCAUGUAGAUUUGCAUGGUAAUUCAUACCCGCUUUGUGAUCCUCGGUAUCCCAGUCACAAACUAGAGCGGCAUAUCUGAUGGUUUUUGGCCAUAAGAACAUCCUAUGUGCUCAUACAAACCCUAAUGCUUGGAUCUAGGUUUCUCUAUUGUACAUGCAUUUUAUCCAAGACUUUAAACCCUAGUUCUAGCAUUCAAGUAAUCAUAUUAACAUAAGAAAUAGGUUUAGAUUUUACCUUGAUUGUUAUGUAGCAAUAACAAUCACAAAUCCUCCUUGUAAUGACUUUAGAAAGCUUAGAGUCACAAAUGUCACUCCUCUAAUGGUUCACAAACACCAAGAGCAAGAGGAUGAAGAACAAGGAGAGAGAAGGUUGCCCAAAACGUGUACAAACCCUAAAAGGAGUCUUCACCACGUUUUUGGGGCUUAAGGGCACUUUAUAUACAUGUAGGCUAUUAGGAUUUUGAACUAGGAAACCCUAAACUAACUGCUUAAGCCCUAAGCAGCCCAUGGACCCUUCUUUAAUAAGCCUUGCACGAUUUCUAAUGGGUUUCCGCAUAGAAUUCAUCCGACCUUAUAUUAUAAGGUGAUCCAUAGCCCAAUUGCAAUUAUCUUAUAAUUACAAUUCCAGUCAUUUAAGUUUAAUUAAUCUCUUUUAGCCACAAAAUUAAUUACCAAUUAAUUAUUGACUAAUAUUAAUUAAACAAUAUGAUUUCUCCUUUAAUAUAUUAUUCUCAUAAUAUAUUAAUAAAUCAUAAUUAAUCCUUUCUCUCCAUAAUUCAUCCUAUCAAGUUGCUUUGGUGAAGGCAACCCAAAAGGACCAUGCACCAUCGGGUCAAGUACAUACCAAAAUAGUUAUGGACUUAGACACUAAUCCAACAGUCUCCCACUUGGAUAAGUCUAAUAACUAUUNUCUAGGAAUUCUCAAUAAAACUUAAGGUUAUGUUUUCAAGGUGAAGAAUUAGUGAAUCAUCAUUCACUUACCUCCAAAUUGUUUGCAUGUUGGAUUACGGCAUCCCUUUUCUAAUAUGUAAAUAAUGUUGUUGGGUCCUAGCCCUAAUUUUUCAUUUUGGGUGUUUAAUUAGGGAUACAAUUCUAAUUUUUCAAUGGUACGAACUUUAGCGAAUGGAUAAGAUACAUUCAAACCAUUGCACACUACGAGAAUAAAGAGUAUGUCCUCGACGAAAAGCUCGAGAAGGUCAACCCGGAAAUUACUACUCCCGAAGAGAUGGUUGUCUUUGAGACACACGAACGUGAUGCAACGAAAGUCCAUUGCAUCAUUAUAGCCACUAUGAACCAAGAAUUCCAAAAGUCCNUCAUGAUAGCCACUAUGAACCAAGAAUUCCAAAAGUCCUAUGAGGACAUGUAUCCGUAUGAAAUGCAUCAAGACUUGAUGGAGAGGUACCACCAAAGCGCGAGGCAGGAGAGCUACGAGAUCAUCACUAACAUGAUCACCGCUAAGAUGGGAAAUGGAGAAACGUUGACUGUGCACUUGCAAAAGAUGUAACGAUAUGUUGAUCGUCUUCACAAGUUAAAUGUUAACUUUGGGGAGGAUUUCGCCAUGGACAUUGUUCUUCAUUCCUUGCCUUCAUGCUACAACCAAUUUAGGAUGACCUACCACAUGAACAAGGAAGAGGUCACCCUAAGAAAACUCCAAGGACUCCUAAGGACUACUGAGAGCAUCCUAAAGGACAAGUUUGUUGCACCAACUCCCGCACCAACCGUUGCUCUUGUUUUGGAUAUAGGGCAGGGAAGGGGCAAGAAGAGGAAGGCUCCAUCAAAGAGCCACCGCAAGGGAAAGUCCCAAGAUGGUUCAUCUUCUAGUGGGACCAAAGUUGAUCCCGCUAAGCCCAACCCUAACCCGAAGGAGGCAGAGUGCCAUCAUUUCCACAAAAUAGGACAUUGGAAGAGAAGCUGCCCGGAAUAUCUGCAAGCCAUCAAGGAUGGAAAGAUCAAGCCAUCCUUUGCAGGUAUAUACACAAUUGAAUCUAGUAAUUCAUCUCACACUAUUUCUUGGGUUCUUGAUAUAGGAUGUGGUUACCACAUUUGUUCUGAUUUGCAGGGACUAAGAAGAAAUAGAGAUGUGGAGCAAGGAAGAAUAAAUCUAAUCAUGGGAAACAGAAGAUCACCGCCUGUCACCAAGAUUGGAAUGUAUUCUUUAGUGCUUAGUAAUAGAUUAGGUCUAGAUUUAAUUAAUUGUUGCUACUCACCAGAAAUGGCAAGAAACAUCAUUUCAUUUCAUGGUUUGUUUAGACAAGGAUUUAAAUAUUCAUUUAAUAAUAUGAAUGGUUCUAUUUAUGCUUAUCUAAAUGGUGUUUUAUACUUUGAAGCAAUGCCUUGUAAUGGAGUUUAUGAAACUGUUAUGGCUGUAGAUAACCUAGGAAAAUAUGUGUUGUGUAUAGAUUCUUCCACUAGUAUGGAUAAAGCAUCUUUGUGGCAUUAUCGUCUAGGACAUGUCAACAAGAAACGCAUAGCCCAACUCCAAAAGGAUGGAGUGUUGGAGUCAUUCGACCUUAGGGAAGAUGACACGUGUGAAUCUUGUUUACUUGGAAAGAUGACCAAGUCACCCUUCACUGGCACUUUUGAGAGGGGUGAGGGUUUAUUGGAUCUCAUAGAUACCGAUGUAUGUGGGCCCUUUAGAUCCACCACAAAGGAUGGAAACCGCUUCUACGUGACUUUCACCGAUGAUUAUAGUAGAUAUGGGUAUAUUUACUUAAUCAAGCACAAGUAUGAAACGUUUGAAAAGUUCAAAGAGUUCAAGAAUGAAGUGGAGAAUCAGUUGGGCAGGAAAAUCAAGAUGCUUCGAUCCGAUCGAGGAGGAGAGUACCUAAGUCUUGAAUUCCACGACUAUCUCAAGGAAUGCAGAAUAGUUUCGCAAUUGACGCCACCUAGGACACCGCAGUUGAAUGGUGUGGCAGAAAGGCAUAAUCGAACCUUGUUGGACAUGGUCCGUUCUAUGAUGAGUCGUGCUUCACUAGCUAUCUCAUUAUGGGGGUAUGCCUUGGAGACUGCCGCCCAUAUCCUUAAACGAGUCCCUACAAAGAAAGUUGCCAAAACACCUCACGAGAUGUGGACAGGGAAAGCUCCCUCGUUGGCACAUAUCAAGGUUUGGGGUUGUGAAGUUAUUGUAAGAGGAGAAACUCCCAACUCAUAACCGCCUCAAUCUUGGCCGGAUCGACCAAUAUCCCAUUCUGAUUAACGAGAUAUCCCAAGAAUUGGACCUCCCGUAACUAGAAAUCACAGUUGGAGAAUUUGGCAUAAAGUCUCUCCGAUCUCAACACUCCAAGGAUCUCUCUAAGAUGCUCCUCAUGCUGCUCUCUGGAUCUCGAAUAUACUAGGAUAUCAUCAAUGAACACAAUCACCGAACGAUCCAACAUCAGCCUGGACACCCGGUUCAUAAGAUCCAUGAACGCUGCCGGUGCAUUGGUGAGCCCAAAAGGCAUCACCACGAACUCGUAAUGCCCAUAACGAGUCCUAAACACCUCCUUUGGGAUAUCCUCAUCCCGCACCCUCAUCUGAUGAUAUCCCGACCUCAAGUCAAUCUUGGAGAACCAAGAUGUACCCUGCAACUGGUCGAACAGAUCGUCGAUCCUUGGUAACGGGUAACGGUUCUUGACCGUCAACUUGUUCAACUCCCAGUAAUCAAUACACAUCCUAUGUGAACCAUCGUUUUUCUUGACAAAAAGAAUCAGGACUCCCCACGGCGAGGUACAUGGACGAAUGAAUCCCUUCCCCAGCAGCUCCUGAAGCUGCGAGGAUAACUCCUGUAUCUCUGGUGGCACAAGGCGAUAGGGUGCCUUGGCAAUAGGCGCUGCUUCCAGAACCAAAUCAAUAUGAAACUCCAUCUGCCUCUCUGGAGGCACACCUGGCAACUCCUCGGGGAAAACAUCCGGGAACUAACUCACUAUCAGGACCUCAUCAAUAAAACUUGGCCUCUCUGUAGCAACUCGCGCAUCCAUCACAUAGGCUACAAACCAUCCACAGCCCUGCUGUAGACUCUGCCUCACUUUGGCGACUGACCAAAAUGCUGAUCCAGAUCGGGUACCCUCGCCAUACACCGUAAGUACUCCCCCACUAGGGUCUCGUAUGGUCACCAACUGACGCUCGCAGUCGAUAACAGCUCCAAGUUGGCUCAACCAGACCAUGCCCUCGGUACCAAAUCUAUCAGGAACUCAACACCGAAGAUCUCGAGCACACAUCCUCGAAUCACAUCAGGAGCAUACACUACUCGCUCGUCGUCUAUGGAAACUCGUAGAGGUCGACUCAACGCCUCUCGUCGGAUACUGAUGUGCUGACUAAACGCUACAUACAUGAAAGAUCGACUCACACCCAAGUCAAAAAGCACCAAAGCAGGCACAUAACUCACAAGAAAAGUACCUACACAUACCAUAAUAUAAGCACAAAAUCUCAACUCGGAAUAAUUAAAUGAAAGGAUACAUACCAGUCAUGACAUCAGGCAUUGCGCGAACCUCCUCCGUUGUCAACUGAAAAGCUCUCCCUCGAGCCUUCGGUGCCUCAGCCUUCACUGGCCGACCCUCAGUAGCUCGUGCAGCAGCAGGGGCAGAUCCAUGGGCUGAUCCCUGUAACAGCUGCGGGCACUCAGCCUUCCGAUGGUCCGUCUGAUUGCAAUGAAAGCAAACCGAAAAUCCCUUGGGGCAAUCCUUUGCAAAAUGCCCCUCCUUCCAACACUUGUAACACACCCCAGCUCUACACAUUCCCUCAUGGCUCUUGCCGUAUUUCCCACAAGUGAGGCCCUUCGGACCUCCAGAUCUCGAAUCAGCAGGCUUCGCCCACUUGGCUGCCGACUAAACCUGCAUCGGUUGUUUGUCCCUCCUCUGAGACUCGGCCUCCUCCCUGACCUGAGUCUCCAACUCAAUCUCCCUCUUCCGGGAAUUUGCCUAGAGCUUAGUAAAUGUCCGGUAUGACGAGUUCACCACGAACUCACGAAUGUCCCUCCUCAGAAUGCUCAAGUGUCGGCUCAUGCGUGCCUUCUCAGACGACACGUGCUCAGGGAAAAACAACGCCCUCUCGUGAAACAUCCGUGGGAUCACCGUCACGGACUCCGUCCCCUGCUUAAGGGACAAGAACUCCUGAUCCAACAGUUCCUUAUCCACCGAGGGAAUAUACUCAUCCCUGAACUUUUGGAUUAGUGUCUAAGACUAUAACUAUAUUUGGUAAAUACUUGACCCGGUUAUGCAUGGUCCUUUUGGGUUGCCUUCACCAUAGCAACUUGACAGGAUGAUUUGUUAAGAGAGAAGAAAUACUAUUGUAAAUAUAUUAUGAGAAUAAUAUAUUAAAGGAAUAAUAAUAUUAUUUGAUUAAUAUAAGUCAUAUAUUAAUUAAGAAUUAAUUUGGUGACUUAAAGAGGUUAAUUGAAUAAAGGGGCAUAAACUGUCAAAUGUGUGAUAGUUGUGUUUUUGGGCUAUGUAUCCUUAUGGGUAAUGGGGUCGACGAAAUUUAGAGUUAGGGAACCUUAAAUUCGUCCAAGCCUAGUAUCUAGGAGGAUCUUGGAUUGCUUAGGGCCUAAGUUAUUCAGUUAGGGUUAAAGGUGAAACCCUAGUAUCCCAUAGUAUAAAUAGACCCCUAGGGUGAGGGAAAUCGGCACUUAUCCAAGGAAAGGAACCCUAGGGCCGAUUUCUCACCCUUUCUCCUCUCUCUCAAUAUCAUCCUCUUGCUAGUUGGUGUUUGUAAGCAAUUAGAGGAGUGAUAAUUGUGACUCUAAGCUCUAAGGAGAAGAAGUAUCAAGCAAGUCAUCUAAAGUAUUGUUCUAGAUCCAAUUACAUAUGAUUUGAUUCAACUGUUUACAUUAGAUCUAGUAUUGUAAGUCUUGGAUUCAAUGCAUGUUCAAUUAGAGAAACCUAUAUCCAAGCAUUAGGGUUUGCAUGUGCCCAUAGGAAAGUUCUUAUGGCUCAAACCCCAUCAGUGGUAUCAGAGCCUUGAUUGAUUUCUAUUGAAUUGAUGCAUUGGUUAAUUGCUUGUUGCUUGUUAAAUUCGAUUUUUGGUCUUCUGCCUGAGGAACUCGGCGAGUUCCACUGUGGACUCGGCAAGUAGCUCCAACUCGGCAAGUCCAUAGUGGGUACUCGGCGAGUUCGAGCAUCAGAAAGUGGAAGUUACGGGAUUUCUUGUUGUUUUUCUUGAGGAAACUUGCCUUAACUGUUUUGGGUCAUUAAAAUCCGAUUUUAACCAUAUAUAUGAGUAUAUUAUUGACCAAACAAAAGAUAAUUACCAAUUAGUUGAAUAAUAAUUUCCUUAUGUGAUAAUAAUUGAUUAUUUGAAUUGAAUUGGUUAAUUAUUUUGCAAGUAAUAUUGAAUAAGAUCAAAUUGAGAUAAUUGUUGAUUUACAUUAUUUUCCUUUUGAUCCUUAUGUAUUGAAAAGUUUAAAACUUGUCCUCAAGUUUUGAAAUUUAAGUUUUGUGAUUAAAAGUUUAAUUUGAAUAAUUUAAAUUUCAAACCCUAGAAUUUUACAAGUUUAAAAUUCAACCCUAUACUAUUAUAUGAUUACAAGCUUAAUAUAUAUACGUAUGAGUAAAACUAUGCUAGUCUUACCGUUAGUAGGCCUCAUUCACGAAGCCGUUCUGUGAGGUGGGUAUAACGAUGUUGCCUAUAAAAUAGCGCUUAAUGGGUGUACACUCACACCCACCGCUUUCUUGAUCGGUGGAGGGUCGUUAGCCGAAUGGGUAGGAUAGGGCAACUCUCUCUCCUCAUUAAUAAAUAUAAUGAAUCUAUAAAAUAACUAAACUAUUUUAUAAAAUUCCCAAUCUUAGUUACUUUAGGAAAAGUGAAUUGAUGCAAUCCCAUGAAAUUACACUUUGCACCCUCGUUUAGAUGUUAGUGGAGUGUGUGUGGUUAAUCGGCACACUAAUUGGUUCUAAGCAAAGGUGGCGAAGGGUGAUUCAUUGUUUGUCAUAGUUCGAUGGAGCGUGUGUGGUUUACCGGCACAUCGAAUAGGUGAUUGUAACAAUGAAGGCACCAUGUGAAUUUGCAUGGUAAUUCACACCCGCUUUGUGAUCCUCGGCAUCCCAGUCACAAACAAGAGGGGCAUAUCGAGAUUUAAACAUGCCAUUGAAUAGUUUCAAUGAAUCUCAUCCGAACCUAGGAAUUCUCAAAAACACUUAGGACUAAUAGUUUAAGUUUUGUGAUGGAGAAUUAGUGAAUCGUCAUUCACUUACCUCCAAAUUAUUUGCAUGUUGGAUUACGGUAUCCCUUUUCUAAUAUGUAAAUAAUGUUGUUGGGUCCUAGCCCUAAUUUUCAUUUUGGGUGUUUAAUUAGGGAUCCAAUUCUAAUCAAACUCUAUCCUUUCUAUUUGUAGAUGUCGAACACAAACAACGUUGCUGCUAGCUCAUUCACGCUAAUGAGCCUUUGUCAAAAAGUGACUUUCGAUGGAUCGUACUUUAGUGAAUGGAUCAGAUACAUUCGCACGAUCGUGUGUUACAAGGACAAGGAGUAUGUUCUCGAUGAGAAGCUCGAGAAGAUCAAUCCAGAAACUGCCACUCCCGAAGAAAUGGCUGUGUUUAAAACACAUGAGCAUGAUGCAACAAAAGUCCAUUGCAUCAUGAUAGCCACUUUGAACUCCAAAUUCCAAAAGUCCUACGAGGACAUGUAUCCUUAUGAGAUGCAUCUACACUUGAUGGAGCGAUACCACCAAAGCGCGAGGCAAGAAUGCUAUGAGAUCAUAACGAAUAUGAUCACUGCUAAAAUGGGAAGUGGAGAAUCUCUUACCGUGCACUUGCAAAAGAUGCAAAGGUAUGUCGAUCCUCUUCGCAAGUUGAAUGUCAACUUUGGGGAAGAUUUGGCUAUCGAAAUUGUUCUUCACUCCUUGCCCUCAUGCUACAACCAAUUUAGGAUGACCUACCACAUGAACAAGGAAGAGGUCACCCUAAGUAAACUCCAAGGGCUCCUAAGGACUGCUGAGAGCAACCUCAAGGACAAGUCUGUUGCACCAACUCCCAAUCCAACCGCUGCUCCUAUUUUGGCUAUUGGGCAGGGAAGGGGCAAGAAGAGGAAGGCUUCUUCAAAGAACCACCGCAAGGGAAAGUCCCAAGAUGGUUCCUCUUCUAGUGGGACCAAGGUUGAUCCUGCUAAGCCCAACCCAAACCCAAAGGAGGCAGAGUGCCAUCAUUGCCACAAAAUAGGGCAUUGGAAGAGAAGCUGCCAAGAAUAUCUGCAAGCUAUCAAGGAUGGAAAGAUCAAGCCGUUUUUGCAGGUAUAUACACAAUUAAAUCUAAGGAUUGGUCCCAUACUAUUUCUUGGGUUCUUGACACAGGAUGUGGUUACCACAUUUGUUCUAAUUUGUAGGGACUAGGAAGAAGUAGAGAUGUGGAGCUCGGAAGAAUAAAUCUAAUCAUGGGGAAGAGAAGAUCAUCACCUGUUACCAAGAUUGGAGUGUAUUCUUUAGUGCUUAGUAAUGGAUUGAAUUUAGAUUUAAAUAAUUGUUGCUACUCGCCAGAUAUGGCAAGAAACAUCAUUUCUUUUCAUGGUUUGUUUAAACAAGGAUUUAGAUAUUCGUUUAAUAAUAUGAAUGGUUCUAUUUAUGCUUAUCUAAAUAGUGUUUUAUACUUUAAAGCAAUGCCUUGUAAUGGAAUUUAUGAAACUGUUAUGGUUGUAGAUAACCUAGGAAAUGAUGUGUUAUGUAUGGAUUCUUCUAAUGGUAUGGAUAAAGCAUCCUUGUAGCAUUGUCGUCUCGGACAUGUCAACAAGAAGCGCAUAGCCCAACACCAAAAGGAUGGAGUGUUGGAGUCAUUCGACCUUAGGGAAGAUGACACGUGCGAAUCUUGUUUACUUGGAAAUAUGACCAAGUCACCCUUCACUAGCACUUGUGAGAAGGGUGAGGGUUUAUUGGAAAUCAUACAUACUGAUGUAUGUGGGCCUUUAGAUCCACCACAAAGGAUGGAAACCGCUUCUACGUGACGUUCACCGAUGAUUAUAGUAGAUAUGGGUAUAUUUACUUAAUCAAGCACAAGUCUGAAACAUUUGAAAAGUUAAAAGUGUUCAAGAAUGAAGUGGAGAAUCAAUUGGGCAGGAAAAUCAAGUUUCUUCGAUCCGAUCGAGGAGGAGAGUACCUAAGUCUUGAAUUCCACGACUAUCUCAAGGAAUGCAGAAUAGUUUCACAAUUGAUGCCACCUAGGACACCGCAGUUUAACGGUGUGGCAGAAAGGCAUAAUCAAACCUUGUUGGACAUGGUUCAUUCUAUGAUGAGUCGUGCUUCACUAGCUAUCUCAUUAUGGGGGUAUGCCUUAGAGACUGCCGCCCAUAUCCUUAAACGAGUCCCUACAAAGAAGGUUGCCAAAACACCUCAUGAGAUGUGGACAGGGAAAGCUCCCUCGUUGGCACAUAUCAAGGUUUGGGGUUGUGAAGUUUUCGUAAGACGAGAAACUCAUGACAAGCUCGAACCUCGUAGUGAGCAAUGUAUUUUCAUCGGCUACCCGCAAAAAUCCUUUGGAUAUCUCAUCUAUAGGCCGAGUGACAUUGUUGCCUUCGUUGCGAGGAGAGGGGUUUUCCGAGAGAGAGAGAGAGAGAGAGAACUCAUAAGCCAAGGAGACAGUUGGAGGCAGAUCGAUCUUGAAGAGAUUCAAGAGUCGAGUGAUGAAGGAGCCUCUACCGCUGGCGCUCAACCCGAGGAGGAAACUCCGGUUGAACCAAUUGACAAGUCAUUACCUCUUAGACGUUCCAAAAGAGUUAGAGUUCAACCCCAGUUGUAUGGUUUUCAUACUACUACCGAAGGGGACAUGUAUAUUAGUGAUAGUACACUAAUAAAUCUAGAUGAACCUAAUAGCUAUAAGGAAGCCAUGGCAGGCCUGGAGUCUGCUAAAUGGAAAGAGGCAAUGGACGGCGAGAUUCAGUCCAUGUAUGACAACCAAGUUUGGAAUUUGGUUGAAAAUGUGCCCGGACGUAAGACGGUUGGGUGCAAAUGGAUCUUCAAGAAGAAGACCGACGUGGAUGGGAAUGUGCACACGUAUAAGGCACGACUNNNNNNNNNNNNNNNNNNNNNNNNNNNNNNNNNNNNNNNNNNNNNNNNNNNNNNNNNNNNNNNNNNNNNNNNNNNNNNNNNNNNNNNNNNNNNNNNNNNNNNNNNNNNNNNNNNNNNNNNNNNNNNNNNNNNNNNNNNNNNNNNNNNNNNNNNNNNNNNNNNNNNNNNNNNNNNNNNNNNNNNNNNNNNNNNNNNNNNNNNNNNNNNNNNNNNNNNNNNNNNNNNNNNNNNNNNNNNNNNNNNNNNNNNNNNNNNNNNNNNNNNNNNNNNNNNNNNNNNNNNNNNNNNNNNNNNNNNNNNNNNNNNNNNNNNNNNNNNNNNNNNNNNNNNNNNNNNNNNNNNNNNNNNNNNNNNNNNNNNNNNNNNNNNNNNNNNNNNNNNNNNNNNNNNNNNNNNNNNNNNNNNNNNNNNNNNNNNNNNNNNNNNNNNNNNNNNNNNNNNNNNNNNNNNNUCCUGGCUCGGGAAGUGCUUCGCUAUGAAGGACCUCGGAGAGGCUUCCUAUAUUUUGGGAAUAAGGAUAGUGAGAGAAAGAAGUAAGAGACUAAUAGGACUUAGUCAGAAUACUUACUUAGAUAAAGUACUAAAACGUUUUAGUAUGGAAAACUCGAAGAAGGGAGAACUACCGAUACAAAGUAAUGCCAAGUUGAGUAAGACUCAAAGUCCGAGUACCGAAGCCGAGAUAGCUGAGAUGAGCCGAGUACCAUACGCUUCCACAGUUGGCUCAAUCAUGUACGUUAUGACUUGUACUCGCCCUGAUGUGGCAUUUGCUUUGAGCAUGGUCAGUAGAUAUCAAGGGAACCCUGGCAGAGCUCAUUGGAUUGCAGUCAAGAAUAUACUUAAGUACCUUCGGAGGACCAAGCAAUGGUUCUUAGUCCUCGGGGGGAGUGAUGACUUAAAGGUGCGAGGGUAUAGUGACGCCAGCUUCCAGACCGACAGGGACAACUACCGUUCGCAGUCAGGUUGGGUCUUUACCCUUAAUGGAGGAGCGGUGACUUGGAAAAGUUCCAAACAAUAGACCGUAGCUGAUUCAACGUGUGAAUCAGAAUACAUUGCAGCGAGCGAAGCGUCAAAAAAGGCGAUGUGGUUGAAGAACUUCUUUGGUGAUCUUGGAGUUGUGCCUGCCAUAAAGGAGCCUAUGGAAAUUUUCUGUGAUAAUGAGGGAGCGGUUGCAUUGACCAAGGAACCGAGGGAUCAUGGUAGAUCUCGGCAUAUCGACAGAAAAUAUCACUUUAUUAGACAUCGAGUAGAAGAAGGAAACAUCGUAGUGAAGAGGGUAUCAUCAAAGGAUAAUCCAGCAGAUCCGCUUAUGAAGGGACUGAGUAGGGUUAAGCAUUUGCAGCACGCUAGGAGCAUUCGGCUGAAAGACGAUAUUAGUUUAGAUUAGAUAGUUUUGAAACAUGUAAUAGAUAAAGGUAAUUGACAUUUGAUGAUUAAAUAAAAGAGUAUUAUUUAUAAGUAAAGUUAAUGUCUUAUAUUAAUUGUUUAACUAUUGUUUCACUUUGCAUGUUUUGACUUUCUGAAUAAUUAAGUUAUUAAGAAUAAUCAAAUUAUUCGAAUGGUCCACAAUCGUUUAUAUGUUGGAAGUAAGUAUAAAUAAAGAUUGUCAUGAAUUGGUGUGUAGAUUGUCUAAAAGAGUAUUAGACAUAGCAAUGGUUUGCUACUACGUUCAUGAUUGCUUAUGAAUAAGUUUUGAGCAUUGGAAUAAACCCACACUUGCUGGAAUCACUUUAUGGAAUGAGACACAAAUGAUCGCAAGACGAUAAUAUCAUAUAGUCUUAAAACCAAGAUAUAUGGUUUAUUUUUUACUAAUUGGUUGUACAUUGAUAAUGCGAAACCGCGUCAGUAAAUUGGUGUCAUAAAACACAUUGUUGUGUAUAGUUGGUUAGUCGAUAAGUAAAUGCAUAUAAUUCGAAGUUUAUCUGUUAUUUUUAUUCUGAGAGGGUAAAAGCGAUAUCACGGACGCUCGAUGAUUUUAUUUGACUUAUGUGUCGGGCCCGGUCAGGACUGAAUUGAUGUGUUCAAUUAAGUUCUAUGUCAAAUGAAUCUGAGAUCGAGAAACCAAAUGCUGGACAAUAAGUUCCAUAAGAUUGUCCGCAUAAUAUCUAAACAGAUGACUGUACAAUCCCUUAUCUAAAGGACAAGAGAUUGAUAAGAUCAGAGUUGACAGCGUCUUUGAGAGCUACGAUUGCUAAUCGGUUUGUGUUUGCAUAUAUAGUUACUAGACUUAUCCAAGUGGGAGACUAUUGGAUUAGUAUCUAAGACUGUAACUAUAUUUGGUAAGUACUUGACCCGGUUAUGCAUGGUCCUUUUGGGUUGCCUUCACCAUAGCAACUUGACAGGAUGAUUUGUUAAGAGAGAAGAAAUAUUAUUGUUAAUAUAUUAUGAGAAUAAUAUAUUAAAGGAAUAAUAAUAUUAUUUGAUUAAUAUAAGUCAUAUAUUAAUUAAAAAUUAAUUUGGUGACUUAAAGAGGUUAAUUGAAUAAAGGGGCAUAAACUGUCAAAUGUGUGAUAGUUGUGUUUUUGGGCUAUGUAUCGUUAUGGGUAAUGGGGUGGACGAAAUUUAGAGUUAGGGAACGUUAAAUUCGUCCAAGCCUAGUAUAUAGGAGGAUCUUGGAUUGCUUAGGGCCUAAGUUAUUCAGUUAGGGUUAAAGGUGAAACCCUAGUAUCCCAUAAUAUAAAUAGACCCCUAGGGUGAGGGAAAUCGGCACUUAUCCAAGGAAAGGAACCCUAGGGCCGAUUUCUCACCCUCUCUCCUCUCUCUCAAUAUCAUCCUCUUGCUAGUUGGUGAUUGUAAGCAAUUAGAGGAGUGACAAUUGUGACUCUAAGCUCUAAGGAGAAGAAGUAUCAAGCAAGUAAUCUAAAGUAUUGUUCUAGAUCCAAUUACAUAUGAUUUGAUUCAAUUGUUUACAUUAGAUCUAGUAUUGUAAGUCUUGGAUUCAAUGCAUGUUCAAUUAGAGAAACCUAGAUCCAAGCAUUAGGGUUUGCAUGUGCCCAUAGGAAAGUUCUUAUAGCUCAAACCCCAUCAUGAACAUGGUGGUGAACCUCUACCAGGUUACCGCCGAAAUCUCCACAGUAGUGAAAUCCGCUGUCACAAACUUCCACCUGUCCUUCGCUCCCAAGCGAAGCUGGUUCAGUGAAAACCGAAACCUCAUAUGCUUCGGACACGAACAGGUGUAGAAGCAUCCCUCGAUAUCAGAAAUCCAUCUCAUUGCAACAAUCGGAUCCUGCACCCCAUCAAACUCUGGUGGCUUCGUGUUGCUGAACUCUCGGAACAGCAACGAGUCACCCCCCUGAGGUCUAGCAGCAGCCACAGUGCAGUANGCCAUGGUGCAGUAGCUGCAGCAGCCACAGCCUCAAUAACCGCUGCAUAUCUCUCGCCAAAUGUCUCAAUCAGGGUGGUCUUGAUAGACCCAAACAUCUCUGGUAUCUCUGCGCGGAUAGCCGCAACCACCUCUUCGUGGAUCAUAUGACGAAGCUCCUCGUCACUCACGCCGUUGGUCUCUGGUCUGUGGCGUGUCCUAACCAUGAUGUCUCUGAAAUACAACAUAAAAAUAUCAGAGGCUCGCUUGAGUAUACUCGCACUCGAUAACUCACCCCUACUUGUUCCCUAGUACCCCAAGGAUUCUUACUUGGACUGCGCACCGAUCCGGGCCCUAUGCUACCUUCCACACCGCAUCAGCAUUCAUUCCAAGGUCCUAGGAUCCCAGAUCACAAAUACUCUACAUCUCGCUAAGCAUAGGCUACCCUUCGGUAGACUUCUCAUGAGUUCCUCACUACUACCUACUCACUCUCGAAGCAUCUCAUAGCAACAGUAAUCUCCUAGGCUAAGGCAUCACAAAUCAGGCCACUCUAGCCCUAAUAGGAAUACCUAGCCUACUCUAGCAUGCAUAACAUAUCACACAGUAUCUCAUAACACAUAAGGUAAGGGUAUUUUGGGAAAUCACCAUUCGGGCGCUGGCUGAUCGUACACACUGCUCCGUUCUGCUUUUCUCGAAAAUCUUUUACUCUUUUUUGAAAAAUUGUUUCUUUUAUGAAAAACUUUCGCAAAUCCUUAGUUUGAGUUCAGAUAUGCCCGAAGGUGCAUCCGAAUCCCUCAAACCAAGGCUCUGAUACCAACUUGUAACGACGUAAAAAUUUAAAUUUUUUUUUCAUUUUUUUAAAAGAAACCAUAACUCAUAUAAUAGUUCUCAAAAUAUCAUAAUGUCAAAUGUCAUAAUAAUAACAAAUCCCGUAAUCUCCAACAACUCUUCUUCCAGUGUGUACAAACAUGUCGGCGCCUUCUCGUGAUCCUCACUGGUACCUGAACCACAUCACACACAACAUUGUAAGCAUAAAUGCUUAGUGAGUUCCCCAAAAUACCACAUACAACACAUAAUAUCCACUCGAGGCUGAAGCUCUGUAUGACCUUCCGGUCAAUGUGUCUCCGCGGGACCCUCCAGUCUCGUAGCUCAUUGGACCCUCCGGUCCAGUCUAGCUCGUUGGACCCUCCGUUCUAGUCUAAAUCGUUGGACCCUUCGGUCCGUUCUAUAUAACAUAUAGCAUACAUAUAACAUAACUCACAAAAUCUCAUACAUACGCAUAACACAUAAGACCCUCCGGUCUGCACAUAGAUACCACUCUAGGUAAUGUAUAGUGAGAAGACUCACCUCGUACGAUGUCGAAUAACCUCUCGCUCGAUAACCCGACCUAGCCUCCCCGCCUAUCAAAAUAAUAACAUCUCUAAUCAAUACUUUCUCUUGUCAUCAUCUAUAAAGAAUGGGUAGCAUACCAUUCUACCCCUUCCUGAUCUCUCUUGAUUCAACUUGACUAAAACCCUAAGGUCAACUGAAGUUAACUCUAGUCAACGGUCAAACUUUGACCAAACUCGUCGAGUCCACUUGGGUAACUCGGCAAGUCCAAGAGUGUCCACCGAAUCCUUCUUAGACCUCACUCGACGGGUUACCACUGGUCAUGAAUCGUGGGGCAACCCCGACUCGACUCGUCGAGUUCUCUUAUGGACUCGGCGAGUUUCUUCCAUAACCACACUCAAAUGACCUUCUGAGGUCAGAUCUGUUUCUCUAACCUAUAGAUCUGACUUCCCAAUGCUCAAUAAUUACGUAAAGGUCUGAACUUUAUGUUCAUGCAUCUCACAUAAGGCCCUCUUUGAAGAAAAAACUCUAAAAAUGAAGUCCUGGGCUCAAUGUUCUCAUGUAACAACAUAAAGCUUGGUUGUUGGGACUCUCUGGACCUCUCAAGGUCCAGAUCUGAAGUCUAAUCCUCAAUGGGUCUUCACAUGCUCCACAUUCCAACUAUAGAAAGGGUAAAGAAACCCUAGAUUCAAGAGAUCUACUAAAUACACGAAAUAGACACGGAUUCAUACCUCAACAACACCCUUUUUAAGAAGAAAUGGUAGUUCUGAGCUCCUCAAUCAGCGUAGCAUGAAUCCCUUCUCUCCUUCACGCAAGAAUGCACUAAAGGUGAUGAAAUUAGCUCCUUCCUUCACUCUCUAUGCUCUCUAGUUCAAUUAGGGUUUCUCAAGAGUGUGUGGCCACAAAUAAAGGCCAUAAGGACCUUUAAAUAGGGCUCAGGCCCAAGGAUUUAGGGUUUCUGUCCACAGCGCGGACUUGUCGAGUCCAUUCAUUAAUCCUAGUCAGCAGUCGUGAUCCUACUCGAUGAGUUUAGGCGUCAACUCGUCGAGUCCCUCUCCUUGACCUAAAAUAAAUACUCAAUUUAUGAUACCUGGAAAUCCGGAUGUUACAUGAAGGGAUGUUCUUGGAGUUUUGAUGUAACAUCCGUUCCCCAUAAUGAAUUAGUCAAUAGUAUAAAGGAGUCAAAGGCAUGGUUUUUUAGGAAAACCAUAUGUCAUGAUGUGGCAUGAAGGAUGUCAUGACGUGGUAUGCCAAAUGAAGAACGUGUAUUUCGGAUGGUCACCACGGCAUGACAUGAAGGGUGUCACGACGUGGUGAAUGUUGCAGCCCAAGCCCUAGAUUUUUAGGGUUUCAUUCAUAUUUAAGAGCCUUAACUCUAGGGUUAGGCCAUUCCCUUCAGCUUCUAUUCCCUGUAAAUGAAGCCCUAGCCUCUCAUCUUGCCUUUUUACUCUUUGAUGUUGUUUUGGUCACUUGAAGGUUGAAGCAAGACUUUGUUGAGCAAUGGAUCAACUAGCAAGCUUGUCUACAUCUCUUGGUGCACAUUCUAGACUUGUGUAAGUCUCCAAGUUUCCAUCUUUUUGGUUCAUCUCUUGUGGAUCUAUGUUUUACGCCCUUUCAUUAAUGAUUUGUGGUUAUGAUUGGUUGGAUUGAAUAAAGUUGGCAACUUUAUAACUCCUUAAGGUCCCUUGGUCAUCAUAUGUUCCACGUCUAUAUUGUAACAUCCCAAAAAUCAAGUUAAUUUUCAUUUUCAAAACCAAACCAAAUGUAACACCCCGUUUUAAAUAGAAUAAUUAAAUGGUUAGUGGGGUGUUGGUUUUAGUAAUCCAAAUGGAAAGAAUUGAAUCUUAGGGGUUAAAGUGUAAUUUUGGACUUUAUUUGUAAAUAUUUUCAUAAGUCAUGGAGUGUUUGGUAUUAUAUACGCUUAAUAUGUAAGGAAUUAUGGAAGAAGGGACUAAAGAGUAAAUUCUGGACCUAUGUUGAAAGGGUUUGUUGAGUGACGGGAUGUUGUGUAAAUUAUGGAUUAGAUUUGAAAAAGAUUCUUGAAGCCAUGACAGAAAUGGUAACAUUUGGAUUAAAUUUGAAAGAAAGGAAGAUGGAGGGGCUGAUCUAGUAAUUAUGGGGAAAUGCCUAUUAGGGGCGGGGUAUUUAAAAGUUACCCUCCCCGGUAAACCCUAACCCUAGAUGUAUUGUUCCCAGCUGCCAUCUUCACCACAUCUCCCUCCAGCCGCUACCUUCUACUCCAUCGACUAGCCACUACCUCGGUCGAGAUCCCAAACUAUCAGAGCCACCACAUCGUGUCCAUCCUAGCACCGGAGAAUGAAGUUGUGUGCGUGCUACCGCCGUUCUCUUGGAAGACUGCCAUUCAGCCUUUAUCCGCCACCUUACGAACCUCCAGUCGCCUGCCGGGAACUAAAAGUGAUUGUUGGUCAUGAACCACCGAGGUUGCUUGCCCUGUUGCGCUGAAGCAGUGAGAAAUGUAGUCGCUACACCACCACCCCACGUCAUUAACGCUCUGUCACCGGUGAAAACGAAGAGUCUCACGUUGAGACUGAAUUUGUGAGUUGUCGCCUGAGACAUCAGACGUGAGGUUGAAUCGGUGCUGUGGUCGUGAGAAGGGCAGGUCGAACCUGCUGAUGUGGGUCUCAAUGUCGCUGUUGCCAACGUCAUCGCUACAGUUGUUCCCGCCGUCAACCGUAGUAGUGCUCGCUUGUUCUGCUGUUGCUGGAACCACCAGGUGGGUGGUUGGGUUAUUUUUCCGAUCAAGUGUGCGGGUGUGAUUGUGCCAGUAGAGAGCCUGCUAUAGAGGUGUUUGUUUGGCCGGAAACCAUGGAAGACCACCAUGGCUACCAACCAUGGUGGUUAACGCCGCCUUUGAUGUUCUGUCACCACCAGCCGCCGUGUUAUGGUGGUUGUGUGUGCGUUUUGCUAUGGAUUUAGGUGUGUGUGAGUGUGUAUGCGUUAUUUUGGUUUUCAACAUUGUAAUUGUAACCGGAAUAAUAAUAAAAAACUCCAAACCACCACCAUGAAGUGGUGGUUGUCGCCUGCUGCCGCCACCGGCCACCGUGUCGGGUGGCGGUAUGCUUUGAUUGCGUUUGGACCUUGUUUGGGGAAUGUUUGGAUAAUAUGGGACCAAUGAAACCCUAAUGCGCCCAAAGAAACCCUAGUGGGCCCAAUGGAACCCUAAUGGGCCAAUAAGACCCAAUAUGACCUAAAAGCCCAACCAAUAGACUAACGAACUAGUAUUGGGUUGGAAAACCCUAAGGGCAUAAAACCCUAACUUGUGGAAAUUGAUCGGGACACACACAUGAGAAUUAUGUAAUAAACUUGAAAUAUUAAAUAAUAAUCAUUGGCAAACUAACUUAAGGCAAUAAUUGACUUAAUGGAUUAUGUCCUUAAUGGGUUAAGUGAGAAACACUUAACCCUAAUUGUCACUUUAUGUGAAACCCUAAUGUCACUCGGGCUUUGUGUUGGGCGUUUCUAUUGGGCUUUGGUAAUUGGAUUAUUAAUGGACCAUCCAAGAAUGAUCAUAUGGACCAUAAUUGGUUGAUGGGCUGGCCAUAAAAUAGACCAUAGUUUGGGCCUAUAUGAUUAUGUGAUAUUGGGCCAAGGGAAUACCAAGAGUUUGGACCAGAAUAAUUGGAUGGGCCUUAAGGAAAGACCAUGUAGAGGUCUGGGCCCAAUUUGGAAAAUUGGUCCAUAUGUUGGGCUUUAGCCUAUUACUUGACUAUUGGGUUUUUGUAGUAUGAGUUGGACCUUGGGCUUAGAACCCAAUUAUUCAUUGGGUGAUGUUUUGACAUUGACAGUUCGGGAAUCUAUCAUCCAGUAGCUGAGAUUGUGUCUACAGGACUUCAGCAUUUUGAGGUGAGUUCUCCUCACUAUACCGAUAGGGUCUACGACAUUAGGUCGGUCCCUUCGGUUUGAUAUUUGGGUAGCUAUUGAUAUGUCUGAUGGGUUUUGGACAUAAGAACUUUCCCUAUGUGCACAUACAACCCUAUAGCUUGGAUCUAGGUUUCACUAAUUGAACAUGCAACAUAUCCAAGACUUUCAUGGCUAGAUCUAAUGUAAACUAACAAUUAAAACAUAUGAAAACAAAUCUAGAAUAAUACCUUGAGUUACUUGCUUGAAAACCUUCUUCUUCUUGGAGCUUAGAGUCAAAAAUGUCACUCCUCUAAUGGCUUACAAACACCAACUAGCAAGAAGAUGAAUUGAGAGAGAUGAGGAAGAGGGAAAUCGGCUCUAGGGUUACUCCAAUCACAAGGUUGGCCGAUUUCCUCAACCCUAUGGGUCUAUUUAUACUGUGAGCUCCUAGGGUUGAUUCAUUUGACAUAGAACUUAAUUGAACACAUCAAUUCAGUCCUGACCGGGCCCGACACAUAAGUCAAAUCAAAUCAUCGAGCGGCCGUGAUAUCGCUUUUACCCUCUUAGAAUAAAAGUAACAGAUAAACUUCGACUUAUAUGCAUUUACUUAUCGACUAACCAAGUAUACAAAACAAUGGGUUUUAUGACAUCAAUUUACUGAUGCGGUUUCGCAUUAUCAAUGUACAACCAAUUAGUAAAUAAUAAACCAUAUAUCUAGGUUUUAAGACCAUAUGAUAUUAUCGUCUUGCGAUCACUCCAAAGUGAUUCCAGCAAGUGCGGGUUUGUUCCAAUGCUCAAAACUUGUUCACAAGCACUCAUGAACGUUGCAGCAAACCUUUGCUAUGUCUAAUACCAUUUAGACAAUCUACACACUAAUUCAUGACAAUCUUCAUUCAUACCUACUUCCAACAUAUGAACGAUUGUGGACAGUUUGAAUAAUUCGAUUAUUCUUAAUAAACUCAAUUAUUCUUGAAGUCAAAACAUGCAAAGUGAAACAAUAGCUAAACAAUUAACAUAAGACAGUAACUUUACUUAUAAACAAUACUCUUUUAUUUAAUCAUCAAAUGUCAAUUACAUUUAUCUAUUUCAUGUUUCUAAUACUAUCUAAUCUAAACUAAUAUUAGCCUUCAGCCCAAUACUCCUAGCAUGUUGUAAGUGCUUAACCCUGUUCAGUCCAUUCGUAAGUGGAUCUGCUAGGUUAUCUUCUGAUGAUAUCCUCUUAACCACGACGUGUCCUUCUUCUACUCGAUGUCUAAUAAAGUGAUAUUUUCUGUCGAUAUGCCGAGAUCUACCAUGAUCUCUCGGUUCCUUGGUCAAGGCAACCGCUCCUUCAUUAUCACAGAAAAUUUCCAUGGGCUCCUUUAUGGCAGGCACAACUCCAAGAUCACCAAUGAAGUUCUUCAACCAUAUUGCCUCCUUUGACGCUUCGCUCGCUGCAAUGUACUCUGAUUCGCACGUUGAAUCAGCUACAGUUUCCUGUUUGGAACUUUUCCAAGUUACUGCUCCUCCAUUAAGGGUAAAGACCCAUCCCGACUGCGAACGGUAGUUGUCCCUGUCGGUNNNNNNNNNNNNNNNNNNNNNNNNNNNNNNNNNNNNNNNNNNNNNNNNNNNNNNNNNNNNNNNNNNNNNNNNNNNNNNNNNNNNNNNNNNNNNNNNNNNNNNNNNNNNNNNNNNNNNNNNNNNNNNNNNNNNNNNNNNNNNNNNNNNNNNNNNNNNNNNNNNNNNNNNNNNNNNNNNNNNNNNNNNNNNNNNNNNNNNNNNNNNNNNNNNNNNNNNNNNNNNNNNNNNNNNNNNNNNNNNNNNNNNNNNNNNNNNNNNNNNNNNNNNNNNNNNNNNNNNNNNNNNNNNNNNNNNNNNNNNNNNNNNNNNNNNNNNNNNNNNNNNNNNNNNNNNNNNNNNNNNNNNNNNNNNNNNNNNNNNNNNNNNNNNNNNNNNNNNNNNNNNNNNNNNNNNNNNNNNNNNNNNNNNNNNNNNNNNNNNNNNNNNNNNNNNNNNNNNNNNNNNNNNNNNNNNNNNNNNNNNNNNNNNNNNNNNNNNNNNNNNNNNNNNNNNNNNNNNNNNNNNNNNNNNNNNNNNNNNNNNNNNNNNNNNNNNNNNNNNNNNNNNNNNNNNNNNNNNNNNNNNNNNNNNNNNNNNNNNNNNNNNNNNNNNNNNNNNNNNNNNNNNNNNNNNNNNNNNNNNNNNNNNNNNNNNNNNNNNNNNNNNNNNNNNNNNNNNNNNNNNNNNNNNNNNNNNNNNNNNNNNNNNNNNNNNNNNNNNNNNNNNNNNNNNNNNNNNNNNNNNNNNNNNNNNNNNNNNNNNNNNNNNNNNNNNNNNNNNNNNNNNNNNNNNNNNNNNNNNNNNNNNNNNNNNNNNNNNNNNNNNNNNNNNNNNNNNNNNNNNNNNNNNNNNNNNNNNNNNNNNNNNNNNNNNNNNNNNNNNNNNNNNNNNNNNNNNNNNNNNNNNNNNNNNNNNNNNNNNNNNNNNNNNNNNNNNNNNNNNNNNNNNNNNNNNNNNNNNNNNNNNNNNNNNNNNNNNNNNNNNNNNNNNNNNNNNNNNNNNNNNNNNNNNNNNNNNNNNNNNNNNNNNNNNNNNNNNNNNNNNNNNNNNNNNNNNNNNNNNNNNNNNNNNNNNNNNNNNNNNNGGAUUUUAAUGACCCAAAACAGUUAAGGCAAGUUUCCUCAAGAAAAACAGCAAGAAAUCCCGAAACUUCCUCUUUCUGACGCUCGAACUCGCCGAGUACCCACUAUGGACUCGCCGAGUGGGAGCUACUCGCCAAGUCCACAGUGGAACUUGCCGAGUUCCUCAGGCAGAAGACCAAAAAUUGAAUUUAACAAGCAACAAGCAAUUAACCAAUGCAUCAAUUCAAUAGAAAUCAAUCAAGGCUCUGAUACCACUGAUGGGGUUUGAGCCAUAAGAACUUUCCUAUGGGCACAUGCAAACCCUAAUGCUUGGAUCUAGGUUUCUCUAAUUGAACAUGCAUUGAAUCCAAGACUUACAAUACUAGAUCUAAUGUAAACAAUUGAAUCAAAUCAUAUGUAAUUGGAUCUAGAACAAUACCUUAGAUUACUUGCUUGAUACUUCUUCUCCUUAGAGCUUAGAGUCACAAUUGUCACUCUUCUAAUGGCUUACAAACACCAACUAGCAAGAGGAUGAUAUUGAGAGAGAGGAGAGAGGGUGAGAAAUCGGCCCUAGGGUUCCUUGCCUUGCAUAAGUGCCGAUUUCCCUCACCUUAGGGGUCUAUUUAUACUAUGGGAUACUAAGGUUUCACCUUUAACCCUAACUGAAUAGCUUAGGCCCUAAGCAAUCCAAGAUCCUCCUAGAUACUAGGCUUGGAUAAAUUUAAGGUUCCCUAACCCUAAAUUUCGUCCACCCCAUUACCCAUAAGGAUACAUAGCCCAAAAACACAACUAUCACACAUUUGACAAUUUAUGCCCCUUUAUUCAAUUAACCUCUUUAAGUCACCAAAUUAAUUCUUAACUAAUAUAUGACUUAUAUUAAUCAAAUAAUAUUAUUAUUCCUUUAUUAUAUUAUUCUCAUAAUAUAUUAACAAUAAUAUUUCUUCUCUCUUAACAAAUCAUCCUGUCAAGUUGCUAUGGUGAAGGCAACCCAAAAGGACCAUGCAUAACCGGGUCAAGUACUUACCAAAUAUAGUUACAGUCUUAGACACUAAUCCAACAGUUCAGGGAUGAGUAUAUUCCCUCAGUGGAGAGGGAACUGUUGGAUCAGGAGUUCUUGUCCCUUAAGCAGGGGACGGAGUCCGUGACGGUGAUCACAUAGAUGUUUCACGAGAGGGCGUUGUAUUUCCCUGAGCACGUGUCGUCUGAGCAGGCACGCAUGAGCCGAUACUUGAGCAUUCUGAGGAGGGACAUUCGUGAGUUCGUGGCGAACUCGUCAUACCGGACAUUUACUGAGCUCCAGGCAAAUGCCCGAAAGAGGGAGAUUGAGUUGGAGACUCAGGUCAGGGAGGAGGCCGAGUCUCAGAGGAGGGACAGACAACCGACGCAGGUUCAGUCGGCAGCCAAGCGGGCGAAGCCCGCUGAUUCGAGAUCUGGAGGUCCGAAGGGCCGCACUUGUGGGAAGUGCGACAAGAGCCAUGAGGGAAUGUGCAGAGCUGGGGUGUGUUACAAGUGUGGGAAGGAGGGGCAUUUCGCAAAGGAUUGCCCCAAUGGAUUUUCUGUUUGCUUUCAUUGCAAUCAGACGGACCAUCGGAAGGCUGAGUGCCCGCAGCUGUUAUAGGGAUUAGCCCAUGGAUCUGCCCCUGCUGCUGCACGAGCUACUGAGGGUCAGCCAGUGAAGGCCGAGGCACUGAAGGCUCGAGCGAGAGCUUUUCAGUUGACAGCGGAGGAGGUCCGCGCAACGCCUGAUGUCGUCACUGGUAUGUAUCCUUUCAUUUAGUUAUUCCGAGUUGAGAUUUUGUGCUUAUAUUAUGGUAUGUGUAGGUACUUUUCUUGUGAGUUAUGUGCCUGCUUUGGUGCUUUUUGACUCGGGUGCGAGUCGAUCUUUCGUGUCUGUAGCGUUUAGUCAGCACAUCAGUAUCCGACGACAGGCGUUGAGUCGACCUCUACGAGUUUCCAUAGCCGACGAGCGAGCAGUGUAUGCUACUGAUGUGAUUCGAGGAUGUGUGCUUGAGAUCUUCGGUGUUGAGUUCCUGAUAGAUUUGGUACCGAUUGCGAUGGGGGAUGUUUGUGUCAUCGUUGGCAUGGACUGGUUGAGCCAAUUUGGAGCUGUUAACGACUGCGAGCGUCAGUUGGUGACCUUACGAGACCCUCGUGGGGGAGUACUUACAGUGUAUGGCGAGGGUACCUGAUCUGGAUCAGGAUUUUGGUCAGCCGCCAAAGCGAGGCAGAGUCUACAGCAGGGUUGUGGAGGGUUUGUAGCCUAUGUGAUGGAUACGUGAGUUGCCGCAGAGAGGCCAAGUUUUAUUGAUGAGGUCCCGAUAGUGAGUGAGUUCUCGGAUGUUUUCCCCGAGGAGUUGCCAGGUGUGCCUCCGGAGAGGCAGGUGGAGUUUCAUAUUGAUUUGGUUCCGGGAGCAGCGCCUAUUGCCAAGGCACCCUAUCGCCUUGUGCCACCAGAGAUGCAGGAGUUAUCCUCGCAGCUUCAGGAGCUGNGCUUCAGGAGGUUGGGGAAGGGAUUCAUUCGGCCGAGUAGCUCGCCGUGGGGAGUGCCGAUUCUUUUUGUCAAGAAAAACGAUGGUUCACACAGGAUGUGUAUUGAUUACUGGGAGUUGAACAAGUUGACGGUCAAGAACCGUUACCCAUUACCAAGGAUCGACGAUAUGUUCGACCAGUUGCAGGGUACAUCUUGGUUCUCCAAGAUUGACUUGAGGUCAGGAUAUCAUCAGAUGAGGGUGCGGGAUGAGGAUAUCCCAAAGGAGGCGUUCAGGACUCGUUAGUCUAUUAUUCACUGAGACUAAUUAAUAGUCUAGCUAUUAUUACUAUUAUAUAAGCGUUAACCAAUACUUAUAUAACCCAUAAUAAUAGCCCAAGUACUUAUUACAAGUUCAUAAUAACGUUACUAUAAUUAAAUAAACGAUAUAUUAAAAAUAGCGUAGGCGUAGCUCACUUACAACGGGUUUUAUAGAAAACCGGGCUUUGCAUCGAUCAGCGUUCCCGAGCCGAAUAGCUCUUCUUCUCGGAGCCGUCGAUCACUCCAGGGCUUCCGCCUCGUGCUAGGGAGGUUCCCUAGGCUUUUCGGGGGGGUUUCAGGGCUAAAGAGAGGUUCUAGAGAGAGAGUAAAGAAAAGAAAGAAUGAGAAAUGUGUGAAGAAAAUGAGGGUAGGAGAGGUUCUAUUUAUAGGGUGAAAAUGGCUGAGCUUGGUGCCACAUGUCACCAUCUAGUGGCAAGACUUGGAGAGAAAGCAAUGGCCAAGAUUGUGCCACAUCACCCAUUUUCGCACAACACACUUCCGACUUCUAAAAUCCGUAACUUUCACAUACGAGCUCCGUUUUUGACGUUCUUUAUAUCCACGCGAGGUAAAAAUAAGAUCUACAACUUUGAUUUUGACUCCAUCAACUAAUUCUCAUCUGAUCUUAAAUUUAACAGUACGAGGAGAUUAUACUGUUAAAUGUCCUCGUAAAAUUCAUAACUUCUACAUACUGACUUUGUUUUCGUCUGUCUUUUUACCGUUGAGUUCCUAUUAAUGAGAUCUUCAAUUCUCAUUUAGGUCACGUAGGCCAAAAACCGCUCAAUCUAAAAUUCGAGUUUCGGACUGUGCACUGCUAAGCCAAAUCUUAGAAAAUUCAUAACUUCCUCAUACGAAGUCAGAUUUGGGCGUUCUUUUUUUGUAUGUUCUCGAUUUAAUGUAUACUACAAAUAUUUUUAGAUUUCUAUGGCUAAAAAGUCCACCAUCAUAAAUUCACUAUUUACGUCUCCCGGUACCGUGCCGGUUUUGCUGUAAAACUUUGACGGGCCAUAACUUCUUUGUUAUAACUCGGAUUUCGGCGUUCUUUAUGUGUACAGAACCCUUGAGACAUAUUCUACAAUCUGGUAAAGAUUAUUUAUUAUAAAUAAUCUUUUGUAUUAUCUCUAAAUUGACUAGCCCGGAUCUAUGGGCGUUAUAAUUAUUUCCCCUUUAGGAUGAUUACGUCCCGGAAUCAUCAACGAAACAGGGCUCACAUGAUGACUCCAUAUGUUAUCUCUUCAUCCUAAGUAGUAACUGUAACUUUAAUGUUUCUUCAAAUGAGUAUCUAACUCUAAGACUUACUGACUGCAGGCGGUGCCCAAUCUUAGACCCGCUCUCUAUCUCAUGUUAGACUUUCAAUCACGAUCUUCAUGUCACAAUCUCGAUCUUUAUUGGAGACUUCUUCUUUAGCAAACUUGAGAUAAGCUUCUUCCUUCGAUUAUCAUAAUAGACCGAUGGGUCAUUUUGUGAUGACAUCUCAUCGUAUGAUGCAUUGCUUGGACUCAGGUCUUUUAGAGUCAAAUUUUGAAACAGACUAUACCUUAUUUCAAGUUCUAAUCGCAUCUUAAAAGGUAUCAUUUCUAGCUACAAGCAAGUAUCGUGAUACCUCUACCGAUCGCUUUGAUUAUCUUUUAUUUCAAUCUUCCGACUUAAGUCAGAUGCUACAUCAAACUUGGUUCUUUGAACCACGUAACAUACUUAUCGUAGUCAGACUCAAUUCGUUAUGACCACUAGGGUCGGAAUAACAAUCAUCCUCUUAGUCAUUACCGAAACGGUGGUAAUGACAUAUUUGAAUAAAACGGUAUCAAUUACUAGCUUCUUGGUAACCUUGUGACUUUCCCUGAUCCAAGCGUGAGUCCUGUGCUUCCGGUAGUAUAGGCCUCUACUACCAUUCACACCUACUCAUACUCGUCCCAAGUAUUGUCUCGUAGUUUUUCCAAGUCGCCAUACAAGAAAACCACACAACAACUUAACACAUCAGAUAACAAAAUGAAGGUUUUAUAUUAUUUCUUGAAACGAUUACAUAGGAGUUCAAGUUCACCCUAGAUUAUGCCUCUACAAGGCUACAUCAUAUGAAACUAUGGCUACUACAUAAUCUGAUCUUCGGGUAAGAAGUACUCAUUCUUGAUUCCUCGCGUUGGUGUCUGCUUCAUCGAGGAUCAUGUGGAAUGCCCUUGGUUUCGGCGAUGCAUUUGCUCUUGCAGCUUCGUUUUUCUUUGGAUAGUUCUUUGAAAUAUGCCCAUCAUUUCCACAUUCGUAGCACUUCUUGUUAUCGGAUGUACAAUCUCUGGAAUAGUGACUGGUCCUACCACACCUAUAGCACGUUACUUCUCCAUCGCAUCUUCCGAAGUGCUUCUUCUUGCACUUCUCACACCACUUGGCUCCAUUCCUUCGGUCGUCCAGGUUAGACUUUGAGAACUUUCCCUUUUUAUCAGGUCUUGAGGAUUCUUCCAACUUUCUCUUCUCGCCAACUUCAAAUUUCUCUAGACCCUUUUCUCUUAUUUGGGUCUCAACAUUCUUGGCUGCCCAUAUGGCGGCUUUCAAAGUGGUUGCUUGUUUGACCAUUGGGCCAAAGUCCGCUGGUAAUCCAUUGGCAAACCUAUUGACCUUGGAAAGUUCCGUUGGAACUAAAUAAGGAACAAGCUUCAUCUUCUCCGUAAAACUUGUAGCGUACUCAAUGACGCUCAAUUUUCCUUUCUUUAGGUUUUGAAACUCGUUGUUGAUCUCUAGUAGAUCCUGCUCAAAGCAGUAUUGCAUUUUCAAUUGCACCAGGAAAUCUUCCCAAGAUAUCUUACUUGCUUCUCCUGUGGGCAUCGUAUCUGCCAAUAUCUUCCACCAGCUCAAGACUCCGCUCUUCAGUUUCCUGAUCGUAAAGAUGGUUUUCUGCUUGUUGCUAUAGUCGCAACUCUCAAACACCAUCUCCAUCUGAGAGAUCCAGUCCAUAAUCUCAACCGGCUUCAGGCUUCCAGAAAGACUUGGUGGUUUUGCACUCAAGAAGUUCUCAUACCUUCGCCCAUCCUUGUCGUUUCCCGUCUCCGGGCCAUCCCUUCGUUCACCUUGAGUCCCUAUAUGACUCACUUGGCGGCUGUAGUUCCCUUCCUCCGACUGCUCGGGAAUUGGCUCGGUUUUCUCGAUGGGCAUGGUAGGUUCGUCCUUAUUUUCAUGCAACAUCUGUCUCAUUUCCUCCCUUUGUUCAACUAACAUAGCCCGAAUCAUGGCUUGUACUCCAGCCAUGGUGACUGGCUCAAGUGCAGCUCCCAUUAAAACAAGUAUUUGCUCGAUCACCGGGGGCUGUUGAUUCCCAUUUUCGUUUGCGUUCCCGACUCCGCUUCGGGUUCUAGCCAUGUGAUCUAUAAACGUUUGGUGUAUAAUGACGAGAAUUAAGAUAGGAAAGAUUUUAUUUACGAUCGACGUGUAAAUCUUCCUUUUAUUCCGAAAAGUUACAUGCCAGUUCUAAUACCAUAAUUAAACGUUUAGAAGUCUGAACACGUAAAGUUUCUAGAUCCGGUCGGCAACAAACCAUAGAUCCGAUCAUACAUUUAGCAUCAUAAAUCAUUUAGCACAUAAAAGCAUGUUAGGCAUUUUCCCUAAAUAAGCUAGUGUUUGUGUCUAUUCAGGUGUAUUACCUAAGACACACUCCUCACAAUCAUUGCUUAGCAUUCUAAGUUUAAGUCUAGAAAUAAAUUCAUAUUCCUAGUUCGCUUAAGCUAAUGCUCUAAUACCAACUGUGACAUCCCCAUUUUCACGGCCAGAAAAGACUGAUUUUGUUUAUGCUUUAUAAAAAUCAGAGUACUUCUUUUAAUAAAAAUGUUGCGGAAUUUGUUCCCAGAAAAACAUGAUAAAUACGUUAUCAAAGCAUUUUCGAAGAAAUGUAUUUUUAUUCAUUUAAAACAUUUGGGAUGUCAUCGUCAAUACGGAAACAGGGAGGGUUUCGACUCCAUUAUUCGGCUUACCGAUGCUCGUGUUGGUACUCUUCCCCUGUGGAGGUUGUAAAAACUCCAUCCAUGCCACAGGGAGGGUGUCAACCUAGUUCCUAACUCAGUCUCUGUAAAUCUACGGAUCAUUAAGGUGUCCGACCAUGGAAGUCUCAUCGGUGUCUUCCUAAAAUACAUUUCGAAGUUCUCUCUGUUUCCAACCAUCAUUUUCCUGAUUGAGAAGAAUAGGGUCUCCUGGUAGUUUAGCUCCCGCAAUGUUGUUUGUGUGAGAAUAGGGGUAGAAGAGAUAAUUAAUAGAAGUCUAAUCCUAUAAUUAAUUACUUCUACGGGGCGAUCCUUAUCAGUCACGUCUAUAAUCACAUAGUGCAUACCAGUUAUACAUAAUCUGAGAUAGACUAGACCUUCGAAUAAAUGACUCUACUCUAUGUCCACAACCAAACAAGGAACAAGAAGUAGAGCAAUAGUCAUAGAUUCCGAGUCUAUAAUAUCUUUAAUUAUGUAUAACCUUAGCGUAUGCACUUAGUCGUUAUAGUCCUACUAAUAGGGGUCUUUAGUUUUCAUAUAAGUUGGUUAUAGUACUACAAAAUACUCGUAUAGUAUUUUUAUGUUUGUAUUAUGUUUUCACUGUUUCUUUGUAGAGAGAAUUGGUAAGUUUUUAGACUUGCUGCAAUGCCACAACCAUUCCCGGGCAUAUGCUAAACACUUCUGGUUCAGACAUAGUUGAUCAGGCUAUGUCAUUCCCAGACCCGACUAUACAUCCCCAAGCCUACUUUUGCCAUUCAACAAUCAUUACUUUUGUUUUGUUCUAUAAUUAUGCUGACCUUAGUAUGUAUGCAUGCAUGUAUACUUUUAUCAAGAAACUAUUUAUUUCUAAAAGUAUAGUCAUUUAAAAAUGUUAAAUCAGAUACCUUAGUCCCGAUGCAUUUAUAGUUUGUAUAUCUUAUGUGGUUUGAUAUACUUAGUUCACUAUAAACAAUGCUCUGAUACCAAUCUGUCACACCCCCCAAACCAAGGAUGGCGGAAACGUUCAGGGUGGAGGAAUUCAUGUAUAGUAUCACAACAACAAGUAUAAUAGUGCUCAAAGUAAAUACAACCAUCAUAAAUAUAAUUGAGAAAGUUACAUCAUAGUAAGUUUACAUGUUUCAAAAUCAAUUCCAUUAUGAUGACAAAAUGAACUAGUUGACGAUUUAUCGUCCCAUACUCAAAAUGCUGUUGGUUUUCUUGUUUCACUGAUUUCCUGAGAAUACAAGUAGUUUUGAAAAAGUGUCAACAAUUAAGUUGGUGAGUUCAUAAGAGUUUUGUUUUAGAAUGAAACUGUUUUCCUUGUAAAAGCAACAAAGUAUGUUUCCAAAAAAUUCAAUAUUUUCCUUAUUAUGUAUGAAAUAAAUGAUUUUAUGUUAUGCGAUAAUGAAUCCUAGAAAGACCCAUAGAUUCCUUCUAUAAUCACUCAACGUAUAUAAAUUAUAUAAAAAUUAAGUUAAAUAAACCGUUCAAUAUAAUGGGUCUGCCCCAGGUCCACAACAAAACAAGGAAUAUGAGAUAAGGCGGGCCCACCAAUUCUAAGUCGAUUGUGACUAGAUUCUUAUAUAACUCUAGCAUAUACACUUAGCAAUUGUAGCUGAAGUCUAACAAUUCUAGAUGAAAUAUAGUUUUAAUAUCAUAAAAACCAUUUUGUGUGAGCCUGAUACUUUGUAUUUUUACCCUUUUUUGGUAUGAAACCGGUACUUUGUAUUUGUACCCCCUUUCGUAUGAAAACCUGGUACUUUGUAUUUGUACCCCCUUUCGUAUGAAAACCUGGUACUUUGUAUUUGUACCCCUUUUCGUAUGAAAAACCUGGUACUUUGUAUUUGUACCCCUUUUCGUUUAAAAACCUUUUGUAAUGAAUUCGUAAUGCAAAUGAACAUAAACUAUUUCUAUUAUAGUCUAUCAUAAUGUUUGUAAUGUAUAUGCAACCUAACUAUACCUAUUAUAGUUUAGUAUGUUUGCUUGUGGUGUAUAAGAACCAUUUUCUAUGUACGUCGAAUGUAUAGCAAAAUAUAACUAUGUUUAUCAUGCCUUGUUUUGUACUAUUGGUAAUGAUGGAGGAUUCUUAAAAUUCAGCGAGUAUUUUAUGUUAUACAAUUAUCCCACAAGAAGAAACACAUGUAAAAUAUGAAGUCAUUAAAGAUUAACACUUUGCUCAACAUGUUACAAAGUGUGUUGAAAGUUAUAAGCUGUUAUCUAGAUUUUUGACAUUUCUAUACUAUUUUAGAAAAAUUAUAGAAAAAUCAUACGAACUCGAAAACUGAAUCCGUAAAUUCUGAGGGUUCAAAAAAUGUGUCUAGUUUGUCCAUAAUUUUUAUUAUGAUUUUUGGAAGUCUUUAACUUGGGUUAAAAUGUCCAUAUUCAUAGAUUGGUCCGGAUUUGUUCUUGAAAUGAUAGGCUGUUUUGUAAAAAUCACCAUAAAUCGUAGAAAAAUCAUAUGGAGAUGUACACAUAGUCCUUUUAAAGGUAUAAACCUAAACUAUUUGCAUCUAAUACAGUUUUGAAAACUAAAAUGUUUAAGUUGACCAAAACAACCCGUGAAUGGAGUUAAACUUUCUUGAUGAAAGCUGUUGGAAAAGUUUAGUUGUAUUCUUGGUGUUUUAACUUGUAUUCUCCCCCUUAAAACUUAAGAAAACAUGAAAAGAUAGGGGUAUGAACUCACCUUGUGUGAUUUUAGUGGGUGAAUGUUGAAGAAGAGAAGUUUUCAACUCAAGAACACUUGGAGGAUUGCUUGAAGAUUCGAGAAUCUAACACUAAUGCGAUGGAAUUUGUGUAAGCAAUCUAUGAUUUUGAGUAGGAGGAUGCGUAAUAAUCAUAAGAGAGAUGAUGAUACUUACGAGAUGUAGAAGAAAAGCUUGGAAACAAGCCUUGAAUCUCGAAAUGUAGAGAGAGGGAGUGAGAGAGAAUGAAGUUGUCACUUGGUGAAACGUGAGAGAAAUGUGAGGAAAGAGGAGGGUUUUCUAGCUCUUGACCAAGUGUGUGGCUGCAAAAUGGUAGGAAAAGUACUAUGAAAUGACUACGUAUGGUAUAAUAGUGACUGGGGGUUGUACUAUGAAGGUAUGGUGAGGUUGCUUGUGUCAUUGUCCAAAGGAUAAGUCAACAAUCCACCUAGAUAUCUCACCAAAUAGAUUUUAUUUUUAGGCAAUGAUUUUCCCCAAAAUAUAGUUAAAAUAUGAAUAUUUAGGGUUUAUUAUGUUAAAAUACGAGUUUGGGUGAAAAUCCCGCGUUAAAAUCUCGAAAAACGGGCUUAAAACGAAGUUUGGGUAAAAAACCGGCAAUCUGGACCGAACCUGCGAGGUUCGGCUCUAAGGGAGUUAGAACCGAAGGUGGAGAAGGAAGGAACCGAGAGAAGGGAAAAGGGACCGAAGGUGCGAGGGGGAGGGACCGAAGGUCCGAGGUUUGGUUCGGUCUGCUGAGCCUCAGUCCGAGAUGGUGUAUUUCGCUACUAAUGCCUUCGCUUCUGACACCUUCGCUUCCUAAGGGGGUUCGGCUCCUUAAGAGGGGUUUCGGGUCCUUAAGUCUAUUUUAUCUGUUUUCAUCCCGUUCUAAGUGGUUUUUGACCUGGUUAAGGGUCGGGAUGGCCCGAAAGACUAUGAAAAGUUUAAGGAACUUUUGAGAGAGAUUUGGGAGAGAUUUCACAUACUUAGAGAGAUUUAGGAGAGAUUUGACAUACGUGGAGAGAUUUCUCAUACUUAAAGGGAUUUGGGAGAGAUUUCACAUACUUGGAGAGAUUUGGGAGAGAUUUCACAUACUUGGAGAGAUUUGGGAGAGAUUUCACAUACUUGGAGAGAUAUGUGAGAGAUUUCACAUACUUGGAGAGAUUUCUCAUACUUAGAGAGAUUUCUCAUACUUAGAGAGAUUUGGGAGAGAUUUCACAUACUUGGAGAGAUUUGGGAGAGAUUUCACAUACUUGGAGAGAUUUAGGAGAGAUUUCACAUACUUGGAGAGAUUUGGGAGAGAUUUUGUGACAACCCGAUAUUUCAACUACAUGUAAACGACCUAAAAAGUCAAGUAUUGUAACCACGUUAGUUGUAAUAAAAUUAACUUCGAAAAUAAAAUAUCCAAAAAUCACUAAUUAAGUUACCUAUUAUGUUAGAUGUCAUUAAACCGUGAUCGUACGUAGAAAGAACGCCCAAAUCCGACUUCGUAUAAGAAAAUUAGGAAUUUUUCAAGUUCGGCUUAACGGCAGACGACUAAAAACUCAAAUCAGAGAUCGAGCGACUUUUGACCGGAAUGACCUAAACGAGAAUUGAAGGUCUCAACAAUGGUAUUUCAGCGGUAAAAAGUCUGGCAAAAACCGACGUCAUAUAAAGAAGUUAUGAAUUUCUAAAGAAAUUUUCUUAACACGACCUUUUAAAAAUAAAUAAUAAAAAUAAUUUCGGAAUUUGCCGAUGGGAUCUAAACAAAAGUUAUAGAGUAUGGUCUCACCUUCGCGUGGAUAUAAAGAACGUCAAAAACGGAGUUCGUAUGAAGAAGAUAUGAAUUUUUGAAGUUUAUUAAAUAAUUAAUAUAUAAAUUUAAUUAAAAACCCUUGGUAUUAUCCGAAGGGGAGUCACCAGAUAGGGCCGAGUUACACCCAGCGUAUGCGAGGCCUUGGCCUCGGUUCAUCCACAUCGCCCCUAUGCGAGCCUACCCGUCCCGUCCCAUCCGAAGCCGAGGCAGUCGAGGACUCGGUCACGCAUGACGCACGAGUACGCCCCGCGUACCGAGGCCUCUCAGCCCCCUAUAAAAGGGAUGCGAGGGUUCCGGGAAAAUCACACCAUUUCUCUUACAUUCUUGCCUCGUUUUCUGUGCCCGUGCUACCCCAAAGCCCCGAUCACUUUGCUCGAGUCCCAAAGGUCGUUUGUGCUCCCGAGAUUCCCAAGAAUCCCGAGGAAAUCCACUUUCUCGAGCCGAAAUUCUGUCCGGUUUUCAUCCCGCAACCUCCGAUCUUACAAGUGAGUUCAUACCCCUAUAAUUCACACUUUUAAAUGUUUUGUGAGUACUUUUACAUGCUUUUAAGGGGGAGGGGGGGAAUACAAGUAAAACACUCGAUUAUUAUCGUGUGUUAUAGAAACUUUCACUAUACGCGUUUUAUCAAAGGAAUCAUAUGUGAUUUAAAACUAUUAUAAGGAAACUUUCAUAUGCAAAUUAUACCACGACAACAUUUUAUCUUUUGAAAUGAGAAACGAUUUAUGUAUUUAUAUAAAUCAUAUACUUGGCUUAUACUACAAUUCUGUGUGUCGGUUUUGGCACUACAAAAACUACACUUUUCAUAACAAGUGAACAUUUUCACUAAGGGUUUAUUAUACAAACGAAACACACUCUUAGGAAACUAUAAUAGGUAUAGUUUUACGAGAAUACUACGAAUUUUUACAUACAUGGAAAUACUAUUUCAAGAAGCUACUUUCAUAUACAAUAACGAACGAACGUUUUCACACGUAAAUCUGUUUUAUACUAAGUUUUGUGAGACAUUAACUUCACGUACGUUUGAGUACACAUUUCAAGUCCUGUAUUAUAUACCAUAAUCCCUUGGAGGGGGAGCAUGGUGUUUGUGUGUAGAUCUAUAUGGGCUUGACAACCCGCGCCCUGACAGUUAGCUACAGUCCACCAUUUGUGGUGACAAACGUCAGAACAUUCCAACGCCUGAAGAACAAUGUGUAUAGGCUUUCCUUGUCAAUAGUAUGGUUAUAAAACUCACAUAGAGUAUUAAAAACACAAUGAUUUACAGGGUUUUUCAGACGUAUUGGAAAUUUUAUACGUUCAUACAUUUACUAGAAACAAACAUAGGUCUUGAAAGAAGGCUACAUUUAUACUAGUAGAAAGUAUAGGAUUUUCUAGGAACAAACAAACAAGAACAAAAACAUUUCAUUUCAUACAAACAUUGUCAUUAAAUACUUAUGAAACUCACCAACUUAAAUGCUAAUCUACUCUUUCAAAACUACUUGUAUGUCCCAGGGAUUCAGUAAUUACAGGUAACAAACAUGUUUUGGAGAAGGGACGCUGCAGCGCCAGUUUAAUUUCAUAUUUUGACAUCAUAUUGUAAUUGAUUUUGAACAUGUACUCUUUUAAACAAUGUAAACUUUCAAUUAUAUAUAUGAUGGUUGUAUUGCUUUCUUUACUAUGUAUUCAUUUGUUACGUUACCACAUGAAGUCAUCCGCCCCCGAACGUUUCCGCCGUUCCGGUUUGGGGGUGUGACAGAUUUGGGGUAGCGAGAGAUACAACGAAAGAGAUUAGGAGAGGCUUCUUUUGUGACCUUUUUGAGUGCUUAGCUCCGCAACGCAAGGUCUGUAAGCCCCGUUAAGCCAUGUUUAAGGAUCUUACACACUCCCAAUGAGUAUGCAACAUUGUUUUAUCGGUUUGGUUCGUUACUUACCACAAUUUUAGGUUAAGGAAAUCUAGAUGUACGAACUUUUCAAUUUAUGAUUUCUCAUUAGAAUAGCGCGUUGUAUAGUAAUUACCUAACGUAAGCCCUAGCACACAAGGGUUAGUUGGGUUGACCGGUUUGACUUGUUGACUUUAUUUGACUUUGAUUUCACCAGAAUUUGAAGGUUGUCACAUUUUUGGCUAGAAAUUUGUAAAAGUCUCAGACUUAUUGGAGAGAUUCCCCCUCUCGAAAGUGGGAUCAUUAUCUAUCAAUCUUAUUUCAAUCUUGUGAAAUUCUUGUAGUUGUGUUUAUUCAUUUUGGUUACUAGCCGGGGCUUAUCAAGAUUGCACAUGAAUGUGGUAUAGAGUGGGAUUACAAGGCUUUUGAACAGAAAUUGGAAAAAAAAAACUCCAUUUGAACAGGUAAUCCAUCUUCUCAUUCUCUUUCAACUGUUAGCAUCUCUAAAUAUUAUUAAAAGACAAACUUAAAUUCUAAUCUUAAGAGAUUGAAUAUUUUACCCAUUUAAUUUUCUUCUUACCACAGGUAGUUGUUAAUGUCAAAGACUAAAACAGAUGCAUUAAUUUUAUAUUUUAUCUUUCUAAUCAACAUAUUAAAUAUUCAUCGUACAUCAUACAUCAUACAAUGCAUAUAUUUAAUUAUAUAAUGAUGAUGACCCUGUUUUGCUUCAAUUAUCUAUAUUCAUAUUGAAUAAUAUAUUGAUUCAAGUUAUUAUAUUUACGAUCAAUGGUGACUUAAAUUUAGCAGUAGACCAACAAAAUAUCAACUUUUUUUUUAAUUAAUUAAAAUUGGCUUAUUUAAGUUUUUAACUGUCAUGAGGAUUCAUUAAUAAAUUUAUAUAUACUCUUCUUCUCAUAGACAUUGCAGGUUAUGCAUAUUUGAUAUUUGAUCUAAGCUUAUAAAAUUUUUGAAUUCUGAAAAAAAUAAUUAUAUUUUUAGGUGUUAUAUGGAGGAAAAGAAGGAUGAAGAAGAAAACACAUUGAAUGAAGGUGAAACUGAGAUUGCUAUAGGACAUGUAAGAAGGUUGAUUCAAAGUGGUGUACGUGCUUCUGAUAUUGGAGUUAUUUAAAAGUGAUGUUAGGCUUAUCAGCACAGGUAAAGUAGAAUUUCGUUUUGGUGUAAUGGAAUUAAGGAAUGGAAAGAAAUCGUUGAUUUCAUUGUAAUAGAAAUAAUUUUGUAGGUUGUGUUGCUAAGAGUGUGGAGAACAUAGGAUGACAAGUUAAAAGAAUUGGAAAUCUCAACUAUGGAUGGCUUCCAAGGGAGGGAAAAAGAAGUGAUUAUUAUUAUUUCAAUGGUUAGAUUAAAUUCAAAGAAAGAUGUAUUUAUUAUUAUUAUUAUUAUUAUUAUUAUUAUUAUUAUUAUUAUUAUUAUUUUAUUGUUGUGUUGUUUUAUAAUUAANNNNNNAAAUUCAAUGAAAAUGUUGACAUUGGUUUUAAAAUUGAAUUAACUCAUCUGUUUUUGCAAACAGACCAAAAUACCCUCAUCAUCUAUUUUUAAAUAAAAAAAUUUCAAACGUAAUUUUUUUGAUAGUUUUUGCUAGGUUCAAAUUUCAAUUAUUUUGGCAGAUCCAAUUCCUUAAAAAACAUUCUAUAAACCAAAUGUUACAUGAUAGUUUAUCAAUAAAAAUUAGAGAAAUUAAAAUUUCUCAUACUUUGUCUUCCUACGUAUAUUCCUACCACUUUUAGAUGAUGACAAUUGUAGUAAAAGUUUAUUAAUUUUAUUAAAUUUUUAUUAAUUUGUUUUAUAUUUUUAUAUUUAUUGAAAUCUUAUAUGUUUAUUAUAUUUUCUCUUAUCCAACUUUUUUUCAAAUUUAUUGAUAUCUUAUAUGGUAGUUAUUAGCUUAAAUUAGGUAUGAUUUUAUCUAUUUUUGUAAUUAUGUUUAAAAAAAACACAUUAAACUUCCUUUUGUUCAGAAAUCUUGAAGUUAAUUUAUGUUUUUUUUUCCAGGAAAAUAAGGUAAAGUGGAGAUAGAGGUACCACAGACGGAGGUGCUUCGGGUGGCAGCAUCAACCUCAAGGCUUAUGACUAGAAGUGGUAACAAAAGUUAAUUUGUGUUUCUUUUUAUUAUUUUUUUUUAUUGAAAAAUGGCUUAUUUUAACACCUAAUGACUAAACUGCUCCUGUUUUUAUUGAAAAAAAGAUACUAAUUUAACAGCCAAAGUGUUACUAAUUGUGACUAAUUUUAAUAGUAAAUAAAAUACAUAUUUUUUGGUUAUACAACUCAUGCUUUUAAUUAAUAUUGACUAAUUUUGAAUGCAAUGUUUUUUGUUCAUAUUUCAUUCGAACCAUACUUUAAAGAAUGUUGCUAUUUCUUGAUGCAUCCCUUUACAUCAAAUUGCCACAACGACGAUUUUAUCAAGUAAAUUGCUAUUUCUUGAUGCAUGCAUUCAUUUUUUUUACACCAAUUACAAGAAUCUACCUUCAUAACCUGUUAUAAAGCAACCAUUUUUAUCAAAAAAAAAAAAAAACAUUUUUAUGUAUUUUUUUGCCCAUUAACCAUUUUCCCAUGACAUUGAAUCUUAUUUAGAAAUAUAUAUUUUUUUAUGCUUGUGGACCAUUUUGCCCCUAUAUUAUUGCUUAAUGAUGUUGCCUUGAAUAUGUAUAAUCAUUUCAGAUAAAACUUGCCCAAAUCUAAUUUAAUAACCUGUUAUCAAAGCAACCAUUUUUAUCAAAAGAAGAAGCAUUUUUAUGUAUUGUUUUCCCGUUAACCAUUUUGCCCCGAUAUUGUUGAAUAUUAAUAAGAAAUAUACACAUUUGAAGCUUAUGGACCUACUUUCCCAUGUAUUAUUUAUUACUCAAUGAAGCUGCCUUGAGUAUGUAUAAUCAUUUCAGAUAAAACUUGCCCAAAUAAUAAUAAAAAAUUGUAUCUUUAUUCUAUCUUAUAAGCAAGGAAUUGAUCUACUAGCAGGAGUGGAAGCCAUUAUAAACCAUUUAGUGGUGAAGAAUUUUAGGAUCCCAUGUGUACAUGCUCCUGUGCCCUAUUACCUUCUUCACUCACCAAGUCUAUAUGUCUAAAAUAUGUUGCUGAAUAAUUGAGUUAAUACUUACAUAUACACAUUCAUAUAAUAAUUAGGUUUUGGUAUGAUUUUUGAAACAAUUGGGAUAUACGUUCUUUCCAUGUGUUGAAUGAUUUUGGAAAAUUUUGAGCUUGAGUUAGAGCAGAACGAUUUACAAGGAGAAGCCAUGAAAGUUGAAGAUGGCGAUCAAUCUAGACAACCAUAUGCAUUUGUGCCCUAAAUCGUUUUAUUAGGGUGGACUAUUUCUCAUUUAUUGUUGACUAGAUAUACCAGCUCAUCAAUUAAAUAUGCUAACUCAUCCAUUCACCUGAAUCAUCAGGUUACCACAAGGUGAGAUUUGAACAAAAGGUAUAAUUUGUUGGUGUUUUUGUACAAAACCCUUAGUUGGAUGGUAUUUUUUAAUAGACAAAACUUUAAUGAUGUUUUUCAACGUUUUUGAAACAUUCUUACCCUUAUAAGUCAUUUUCCCAUUUUGUAUUGUGGAAUAUGUUUCUCUUUUCUUACCAGGUAAAAGGUAACAAGGAUGUAGUUGAUAGUUUUAGUUUCUUGAUUAUUGGAUUUGUAUGUAUCUAUUAAACAGGCAUGCAUAUUUUUUAUUUUAGUUUUUGAUAUGGUGUUUUCCUGGUUGUGUGUAUGGUAUAUAUAUCUCAUGUGUGUAUAUAUGUCUCAUGUGUCUAUUUGUGUGGUGUGUGUAUAUGUCAGUGAGUCUGUUUGUGUAUGUGUAUGUUUUUAAAUACAAUAUUGGUUAAAUUCAAGAAAUAGUAAACGAACGCAAUAGAUUUCUUAUAAACAUAGCACUUAAGUUGAAGUUCAAAUUAUUAUAAUAUCUUAAAUGUUGUUAUUAUUGUAUUAUCCAAAUGUUACCAUGGUGACUUGUUUCUAAUAAAGACAAUCUUUUUUUGUUAAGGCAUUUUUAUCUUAUGCUAUUUGAAAUUGGUCUUUUUAAAUUAUUUUAUGUUAUUUUGAUGUAUAGUAUUAUAUCAUUUGGAAAACAUCUAAAAUGUAGUCAUAUUUUGGAUGUCUUGAAAAUGGAAAAAAAAGUAUUUCCUUUUAUAUAGGAGAAAAUCUAUGUUUUAAUUUAGUAAAUGAGGAAGGAUAUAAUUUAUAAUCAAUGACUUUUACAAUACAUAUACGGUUUGUAUAUGAAUGAAAUGAACGUAUCAUUGAAUUUUGUUUAUAAAAUGGAACAUAUUUCUAUAACAUAAUUAUAAAUUUUUAAUAUAAGUGAAUAAAACACAAUGACUACCAAUUAAAAAACAUUAACACGACUUGCAAUUAAUAUUUAUCAUGAACUAUUUAUCAUGUGGUUUAUAAAAACCAUUUGGGUAGAAAUUAUUCAUAGGAAUGAAACUAAUCACACCCGCUGCUAAAAACAAACUAUUCGUACAAGACUUUACCAGUUUGGUGUUAUUUAAAUUAUUUGAUCGUGACGCAAAGAUAGUUCUUGAAAAAACUGCACAAGAGCUGCUUCAAAAUUUUAAUGAGGUUAUUGAUAUUAACUUCAUUUACAUAAAACUAAUUUUCACUUUUUUUUCUAUCUAUUUUUAUAACCGUUCAACAUCGAUUUGUUUGACAAGUAAUUUGUUUUUAUUUUGAAGUUUAUGCUUUUUUUCAUUGGUUUCCUAUAAUUUUUUUGAUUUCUUUAUUUUUUUAUGUGUUUAUAAUCUAGUUUUUUAUUAAAAGAAAAAAAGAAAAAGAGAAGUGGCCUAUAGUUCUUCAAUGUAGCUUUGUCGGGUACCAGUUCUUGAGGGAUCGGUCAAAACUAUUGCUCCAGAAACGCAGAAACGUCACAGAUACAACGCCAAUAAUGUCAACAUAAUCAGAGAUUUAAAAACCAACGGUAAUCAUCUCUUUGAAAUCGCACAUCCAACCAGGCGUGAGAAUUCGCGUCUUAGGAAAAUAAACAAAUAAAAUCCACAAUUUACUGUUAUCAUGGAUUCCAAUCUACCCUAAUAAAUAAAAAUGAUUUUGCCACAUGUCGUAUUCUCUUUCAUUUUGACACUUGUCAUUUUCUAAAAUUUUUAAAUUUUCUAUUUUCCACUUGUCAUUUUAUUGUAUUUUUUAUUUUAUUAAAUUAAAAUUCCACAUUUAAUGUGUAAGGUAAAAUAUAUGUAAAGUAUUUAUUAAAAAAAAGUUUAUAUAUAUAAUAUAUUCAAUACAUUAAAGUCUCAUUAAUUUUAAUAAUUCAAAAUUUUCUUAUUUUUUUUAUAAAUUCAAACAUUUCAAAUUGUUAAAAUUUUAUAUUUAUUUUUUUUAAUUAAACCCAUUGAUAUACAUGGGUUUCACAACUAGUAGUUGUAAUUUUAUCAAAAUAAUUAAAUCGCCUCAUUCUUAAGAACACUAAAAUGGUAAAUAUGGUAAAUAUUUUUCACAACUGUUAUGCCUUAAAUUGUUCAGACAAGUAAAUUUACAGUUCCUUGACUAAACAAGUGGUUUAGCUUUCUCCACCGAAUUUCAAAAUUUUUCCAGCCACACCCAUCAUCAUCUCACAUUAUCUUUUUUAUCUUCUUAAUCUGCACUCUGAUGAUGAUCAUCCCGAUUUCUUCGUAAUCGUUUCUCAUAAACUUUUGCCCAACAAAGAUUUGAUUUUAUAAGAUCGAUCGAUCCUUCAUUUCAAUGGCGUCUUCUUUAACUUCAUCCGUUCACAAGAGCUUUAAGUAUGAUGUAUUUUUGAGUUUCAGGGGCGAAGAUACUCGUACAAACUUCGUUGAUCAUCUUUAUCAUGCUCUCCAGCAGAAAAGCAUUCAUACUUACAAGGACGAUGAGAAAAUCAAAAAAGGUAAAAAGAUCAGUGAUGAACUCAUCGGAUCGAUUGAAGAUUCAAAAUUUUACAUCAUUGUUUUCUCCAAGAACUAUGCUUCUUCAUCUUGGUGCUUGGAUGAGCUAGUGAAGAUAAUGGAGUGCCACAGGACGACAACUGAGCACACUGCUUACCCUGUCUUCUAUGAUGUGGAACCCUCAGAAGUCAGAAAACAAAGUGGGGCAGUUGGAGAAGCAUUUGCCAAGUACGAAAUGGAAGAGGCUGCUGAGACAUGGAAGGUGGCUCUGAAAGAAGCAGCGGAUCUCUCUGGAUGGGAGUUGAAGAAGACUGCUGAUGGGUAAUUAAUUCUUUGAUCAUUCCCUGCAGUAUUAUUGUUUGAAUCUUUUUGAUUUAGCAUAUAACCUGGAUAUAAAAUCUCGUACAUGGCAUUUUAAAUUGUCAAAUUUUAAUUCAAGUUUUAAGUCUUGUCCAAAGAAUAACCAUGGAAUAUGAUUAUGUAACUAUGUUAUUUUUCAUGUGGGGCUGUAUGUUAUAGAUCUGAAAGUGACCCGUCACAUGGGAUUUUGAGUAAGCUAAUCGAAUCUUUUUUAAAAUACAGGCAUGAAGCUAAAGUUAUCCAAAGAAUAGUUGAAGAGAUUUCACUAGAGUUACGUACAAUCAGUCUCAACAUUGAUAGAAAGUUGGUAGGAAUGGAGACCCGGAUCAAAAAUCUUGUACCAUCUAUAGGAAUUGGUUGUGAUGAUGUCCGCAUGAUCGGGAUCAAGGGGAUGGGAGGUGCUGGAAAGACAACUUUAGCAAGAGCUGUUUUUGAUGACAUAUCCUAUCAGUUCGAAGGUAAAAGCUUCGCAGAAAAUGUCAGGGAAAAUGCUUCUUUGUUGGGUUUAAAGUCGUUGCAAAAGCAAAUCCUUUCAGAUGUCUUAAAUGAUAAAGAUAUCAAUGUAAGUAGUGUUUAUGACGGGAAAGACAUGAUGAAGAGGAGACUGCCUCACACAAAGGUUCUUGUUGUUCUAGAUGAUGUGGAUCACAUAGACCAACUAGAGGCUUUAGCAGGUGAGCCUAACUGGUUUAAGCCUGGGAGUAGAAUUAUCAUUACAACAAGAGAUAAGCAAGUGCUCAUAGCACAUGGAGUGAAGUUCAUUCAUGAUGUCAAUCUGCUAUACAAUAAGGAAGCAAUUUGCCUCUUUAGUAGGCAUGCGUUUGGGAGAGAUAUUCCAGUUCAAGGGUAUGAAGAGCUAUCAAAAAAAGUUGUACGUUACGCGGCUGGUCUUCCCUUGACAAUUAGGGUUUUGGGUUCAUUUCUUUGUGGAAAAGAUGAGCUUGAAUGGAUAGAUGCCCUAGAAAGACUAAAAACGAUUCCGGAAACAGAAACUUUGAAAAAAUUGGAGUUAAGCUACAUAUCUCUAGAGGAGGAUUACAAGGAAAUAUUCCUAGAUGUUGCAUGCAUCAUGAAAGGUUGGCAGAAAGAUAAAGCAAUCAAAGCGCUUGAAAGCUGUGGAUUUCGUGCUAGAAAUGGCUUAAAAGUUCUUCAGCAAAAAUCUCUUAUAACUAUUUAUAAGAACUUUUAUGAUCACAUAGGCAUGCAUGACCAUAUUGUAGAAAUGGGCAGGAAUAUUGUUCGUCGCGGGCACCCCGAUAAGCCUCAGAGACAUAGCCGAUUGUGGAUUGAAGAUGAAAUUGAAGAGAUAUUGGCUAAUGAUUUGGUAAGGAUCAAGUUUGCUUGUAUGUUGGGAAAAGCUAACACAUUUAUAGUUAUUAUAACACAAGUUUCUUGGUGACUUCUUUUGGAUUGCAGGGUACUGAAGCAACAAGAUGUAUACAAUUCCACACUAUCAGAUUUAAUCCACAUAUUUUUAUAAAAGGUUUGAGAAAGAUGAAGGAGCUUAGAUUUCUUUCUAUUCGCGGAUAUUGUUCCAGUGAUUUGGAGUUUAGUACAGUUGUUCCAGACUUCCCAAAUGCUUUACGAUGUUUAGAUUGGACCAAUUACCCUUUUAGGUCUUUACGCACAACAUUUCAAGCAAAUAAUCUUGUUGCACUUAAGGUGGAUGGCAGCAGAAUUGUACAACUUUGGGAAGGAGGAGAAAGAAAGGUAAAGUUAUGGUUGAUUGAUUAUUUUGCAUGAUUCAUUAUAGUGUUAUACUUACAUUAUUUUUGUUAUUACACCAAUAUUCAUUUUACUUUUUGCUUAUUUAGGCUCUCAACAAGCUCAGAUUCCUUGACCUCAGUAGUUCAUUGUUGAGUACGCUUGACAUUGGGCUGGCUCCAAAUCUUGAAGAGUUGAUUCUUUAUGAAUGCAAAUAUUUGGAAAAACUUCACUUGCCUGAAAGAUGUCUAAAUCUAAAACGCUUACUACUCACUAAUUCAAAAUUGAGGACCCUUGAGAUUGGGCUGACUCCGAAUCUCGAGGAGUUAUAUCUUGAAAGGUCUUGUUGUCUGGAAGAACUUCACAUGGUCAACGAAUGUCAAAAGCUAGCCGAACUCCAAAUUAGUCAUUCAAACUUGAGGACCUUUGACCUUGGGGUGACUCCAAAUCUCAAAAAGUUAGAUCUCAAAGAGUGUCGUAAAUUGGUAGAACUUCACACUCCCAUUGGAGGUCUAAAACAGCUUGUCCAUGUAAACUUAAGUGGUUGUUUGAGGUUUAGCUCUUUUCUGUUUCAGAUAAACUAUCAUACUGCUUGUAGUGUGGAUGAAUCACUUGAGGUUGGUCCUUUAGCCAAGUUGCAUCUGAUUGUAGAGUCUAUAGAAAGAUGCCAACUUCACCCUGACAGUAACUUGCCAAAGUUUCAGUUUAGAUGUUUUUAUACAGAAGAUCGACCCUCAUUGACGAGAAAUCUUGAGAUGCUUUUUUCUGUAGGUAUGUGUGCUUGCACAAACCUCGAGACGUUUUCACGAAGCAUUUAUGGGUUACAACGUUUAAGAGAGCUUGAACUCAAAGGCAUUUUUCUAGAGGCGAUCAUGGACAUCGAGCAGUUAGAAUCUCUCGAGGAGCUAAUAUUGUUGUCUACAAAGAUUAAACAUCUUCCGGAUAGCCUUUGCAUGUUGAAACACCUGAAAUAUCUCAAACUUUAUGAUUGUUCGCUGCUUGAGAAGUUACCAGAGGAUCUUGGCCAAUUAGAAUGUUUAAAGAAGCUACGUUUGACAGAUGUAAAGAUUAUUAAACAUCUUCC